GCUCUGAUACCACUGAUGGGUUUUGAGCAUUCUAACACUUCCUAAGUGUACAUGCAACCCUAAUAACCUUGGAUCUAUGUUUGUCUAAUUAUCAUGCAAAGUUGAAUUCCAAGGUUAUAUUCCUAUCUAGCAUACAUGGGGAACAAUUUUAACUUGAAUCAUAGAUAGAAUAACUUACCUUGUUGUUGCUUGUGUUCCUUGAAACCUUGUGAGCCUAGCACCCCAAGUGUGAUGCCUCAAAUGCUUCACACAACACCAAAUGCUCUUGGAAAGACUCUUGAGAUAACACACACUUCUCAAAAUCGGCCAAGCCCUCUAGUUCCUUAGUAGUGCCGAUUUUUGGUGGAGAAUAUGCUUCUUAUAUAGUGUUGACACAUCUAGGGUUACACCAUGUAAACCCUAAUGUGUCAUGACUCUUCAUUUCCAUGACCCAUGGGUUUGUAACUCCCAUGGAGCAUCCAUGGAGCAUCCUAUGGGUAGAACCCAACUUGAUAAUCCAUGGAGCCUCUUAGCCCACUAUACAAGAUAUGGAUGAUUUACAUAAUCAACCCAUAUAUUUAAUUAGUUAUCCUUUGAUCACUUAAUUAAUUCCAAAUUAAUUCUUUGAUCAACUAAUCAAAUAAUAUUAUUAAUAUAUUAGAACUUAUAAUAUAUUAAUAAUCUCCAAGUGUUAUUUCUCUCAUUUAGUCUAUCCAAUUGCAUGGUGCCAUGCAACCCAAAUGGACCAUGCCGGGUCGGGUCAAGUACAAGCCCGAAAUAGUUAUGGACUUAGACACCUUAUCCAACAGUUUCAACCGGUAACUUGCCUAGCAUAUCAGGGUGCUGGCCUACCUCUUCGGUCCUUUCGAUCGGUACCUCGCCUAGCACAUCAGGGUGUUGGCCUACCCCUUCUGUAACGAUGUAAAAAUUUAAAACAAAUUUUCAUUUAAAAAAAAACAACCAUAACUCAUAUAAUAGUUCUCAUAAUCUCAUAAUGUCAAAUGUCAUAAUAAUAACAAAUCCCAGAAUCUCAAACAACUCCUCUUCCAGUGUGUACAGAUCAUGUCGGCACCUUCCCGUGAUCCUCGCUAGUACCUGAAACACAUAUGCACAUAACAAGGUAAGCAUAAAUGCUUAGUGAGUUCCCAAAAAUACCACAUACAACACAUACGACACUCAAGGCUAUAUCCCAGUACGACCCUCCGGUCGAUGUGUCUCAGCGGGACCCUCCGGUCCAGUCUGAUUGAGGACCCUCUGGCCUCUUGAGUCGUUGGACCCUCUAGUCCGGUCUAUAUAACACAUAACAUACAUAUAGCACAAUACAUAUAAUCUCAAUCAUACACAUAAUACAUAAGACCCUCCGGUUUGCGUAUAACUACCACUCUAGGUAAUGUAUAGUGAGAAGACUCACCUCGUAUGAAGUCGGAUAAACUCUCGUGCUCGAAUAUCCCGACCUAAGCUCCUCUUAUCAACAUGAUAACAUCUCUAAUCACCUUGUAUGAACUCGAAUAAAGUAUCGUGCUUGGACCCUCUCCGAUGUUGCCACUGGACCUGAACCAGGGGCACCUCCUUGUUCCUCAGAACCUUGAUCCUCUGAUCCAGGAUCCCGAUCGGCUUCUCAACAUAAUUCAGGCGCGAAUCCACCUGAAUAUCCUCUAGUGGCACUACCGCCUACUCGUUGGCUAUACACUUCCUCAAAUGAGACACGUGUAAGGUAUCAUGUAUCUGGCUCAACUCCGUAGGUAGCUCUAAAUGAUACCCUACCCUACCUACCGUCGCGGUCACCCUGAAAGGACCAAUGUACCGGGGGUCCCAGCUUGCCCCUCUUCCUGAAUCGGAUCACUCCUUUCCAAGGAGAUACCUUUAGGAGUACAAAGUCACCAACCUGAAACUCGAGCUCGGAUCGUCGCCUAUCCGCAUAACUUUUAUGACGAAUCUGAGCUGUCAGCAACCUUUGUCUGACCUGCUGUAUCUGCUCAUUCGUCUGAAGCACUAUCUCAGUGCUACCCAUCACUCGCUUCCCUACCUCUCCCCAACAGAUGGGAGUCCGACACCUCCUCCCAUACAACAACUCUAAGGGAGGCAUACCAAUACUCGAAUGGUGGCUGUUGUUAUAGGAAAACUCAGCCAAUGGUAAGUACGUGUCCCAACUUCCUCUGAAGUCCAACACACAUGCUCAAAGCAUGUCCUCGAGCGUCUGAAUCAUCCGCUCACUUUGUCCGUCUGUUUGUGGGUGGUAAGCGGUGCUGAAAUGCAACCUCGUACCCAACUCCUCAUGGAACUUCUUCCAGAACCUGGAAGUGACACGUACGUCUCGAUCUGACACAAUCUAGAUUGGCACCCCAUGCAACGACACCACCUCCCUUACGUAUAUCUCCGCCAGCGUCUCUGUGGAAGAGCUUUCACUGAUAGCAAGAAAGUGAGCGCUCUUCGUCAGCCAGUCAACGAUCACCCAAAUUGCAUUGACACCCCUCACGGUCCUUGGCAAUUUGGUGAUGAAAUCCAUAGAUAUCUGUUCCCACUUCCACCGGGGAACCUCAAGUGUCUGCAACUUGCCAUGCGGACGUUGGUGCUCGGCCUUAACCUUGCGACAGGUCAAGCACCUCUCGACAAACCACGGCACAUCCCUCUUCAUACAGGGCAACCAAUACUCCCUCUUUAGGUCUAAAUACAUCUUAGUGGCCCCGGGAUGGAUCGAGAACCUUGAUAUGUGCGCCUCCUCCAUCAAGAUGGUGCGUGUCCCGCCCGCAAACGGUACCCAAAUCCGACCCUGAAAGGUCAAAAGCCCUCGACUAUCAGUAACGAACUCAGAUACAUGCCCAAUCACCCACUCUCUCUUGCGGUUCUCUAGACUCACCGCCUCUGCCUGGGCCUCUUGUAUGGUACCCAACACCGGAGUCAUCACUAUCAUCCUUAUACAAAUGUAUCGUAUCGGGGGACUCUCCGCCCUAUGGCUCUGGGCAUCGGCUACAACGUUAGCCUAGCCCGAGUGGUACAGGAUUUCGCAGUCAUAAUCUUUAACCAUAACCAAGCAUCUCCUCUGGUGCAUGUUCAGGUUGGGUUGGUCCAUCAAGUACUUCAAACUCUCGUGGUCCGUGUAGAUGAUACACCAAAACCCAUACAAAUAGUGACGCCAUAUCUUGAGGGCGAACACCACAGCCCCCAACUCCAAAUUGUGGGUGGGAUACCUCACCUCGUGAGGCUUCAGCUGCCUCGAUGCGUACGCUAUCACGUGCCCUCUAUGCAUGAGCACCGCACCCAACCCUGAUAUCGAUGCGUCACAAUACACCGUGAAAUCCUCCAUUCCCUCUGGAAGGGCUAACACCGGGGCUUCACACCGUCUCUAGCGAAGAGUCUCAAACGAGGUCUGCUGCUCUAGACCCCACGUAAAAGCAACGCCCUUCUGGGUCAGCCUGGUGAGUGGCACGAUAAUCUUGGAAAAAUCCUUGAUGAAUCUCCGAUAGUAUCCGACCAACCCCAGAAAACUCAGAAUCUCGGUGGGGGAUCUCGGCACCUCCCAACUCAUCACCGCGUCAAUCUUGGCCGGAUCGACUAGUAUCCCAUUCUGAUUAACGAGAUGCCCCAAGAACUAGACCUCUCGUAACCAGAAAUCACACUUGGAGAAUUUGGCGUAAAGCCUCUUCAAUCUCAAAACCCCGAGGAUCUCCCUCAAAUGCUCCUCAUGGUGCUCUCGGAAUCUCGAAUACACCAGAAUAUCGUCGAUGAGCACGAUCACCGAUCGAUCCAACGUCGGUCUGCAUACUCUGUUCAUGAGAUCCAUGAACGUUGUUGGAGCAUUGGUGAGCCUGAAAGGCAUCACCAUGAACUCGUAAUGCCCAUAACGAGUCAUAAACGCUGUCUUCUGGAUAUCCUCAUCACGCACCCUCAUCUGGUGAUAUCCAGACCUCAAGUCUAUCUUGGAGAACCAAGAUGCUCCUUGUAACUGAUCGAACAAAUCAUCGAUCCUCGGUAAUGGAUAACGGUUCUUGACCGUCAACUUGUUCAACUCCUGGUAAUCAAAGCACAUCCGGUGUGAACCAUCCUUUUUCUUGACAAAAAGGACCGGCGCUCCCCACGGCGGGCUACUCGGUCGAAUAAACCCCUUCCCCAGCAGCUCCAGAAGAUGCGAGGAUAACUCCUGCAUCUUUAACGGCGCAAGGCGAUAAGGCGCCUUGGCAAUAGGCGCUGCCCCCAGAACCAAGUCGAUGCAGAAGUCCACCUGCCUCUCGGGAGGUACACCCGAAAAAUCCUCGGUAAAAACAUUUGGGAACUCACGCGCUAUCGGAACAUCAUCAAUCGAACUCGACCGCUCUGCGGCCACUCGUGUAUCCAUCACAUAAGCUACAAACCCACUGCAUCCCUGUUGUAAACUCUGUCUCGCUCUGGCAGCUGAAAAAAAUGCUGAACCACAUCGGGUACCCUCGCCAUAUAUAGUCAACAUUCCCCCACUAGGGUCUCGUAUCGUCACCAUCUUCCGCUCGCAGUCUAUAACCGCCCCAAAUUGGCUCAAUCAAUCCAUGCCCACUAUAACGCAAAUGUCCCCCAUCGCAAUCGGAACUAGAUCUAUCGGGAACUCAACACCGAAGAUCUGGAGUACACAUCCUCGAAUCACGUUAGUAGCAUACACCGCUCGCUGGUCAGCUAUGGAAACUCGCAGAGGUCGACUCAACGCCUCUUGUCGAAUAAUGAUGUGCUGACCAAACGAUAACGACACAAAUGAUCGACUCGCACCCGAGUCAAAUAACACCAAAGAAGGUACAAAACUCACAAGAAAAGUACCUACACAUAUCAUAAUAUAAGCACAAUAUCUCAACUCAGCAUAAAUAAAUGAAAGAAUACAUACCAUCCACGACAUUGGGCGUUGCGCGGACCUCCUCCGCUGUCAACCGGAAGGCUCUCCCGCAAGCCUUUGGUGCCUCGGCCUUCACUGUCCGACCCUCAGUAGCUCGUGCAGUAGUAGGGGUAUAUCCCUACGCUGAUCCCUGUAACAACUAUGGGCACUCGGCCUUCUGGUGGCUGGUUUGGUUGCAAUGAAAGCAAACCGAGAAUCCCUUGGGGCAAUGCCUCGUAAAAUGCCCCUGCUUACCACACUUCUAACACACCCCAGCUCUGCACACUCCUUCGUGACUCUUGCCGCACUUCCCACAAGUGCGGCACUUCGAACCUCCAGAUCUCGAAUCAGCGGGCUUUGGUCGCUUGGCGGCCGGCUGAGCCUACGCCGAUUGUCUGUCCCUCAUCUAAGACUCAGCCUCCUCCCUGACCUGAGUCUCCGGCUCAAUCUCCCUCUUCCGUGAAUUUUCUUGGAGCUCAGCAAAUGUUUGGUACGACGAGUUCGCCACAAACUCACGAAUGUCCCUCCUCAGUAUGCUCAACUAUCGGCUCAUGCGUGCCUGCUCAGACGACACGUGCUCAGGGAAAAACAACGCCCUCUCGUGAAACAUCCGUGUGAUCACCGUCACGGACUCCGUCCCCUUCUUGAGGGACAAGAACUCCUGAGCCAAUCGUUACCUCUCCACCAGGGGAACAUAUUCACCCCUGAACAAGGUGGUGAACCUCUCCCAAGUUACCGCCGAAAUCUACGCAGUAGUGAAAUCUGCCGUCACAAACUUCCACCAGUUCUUCAAUCCCAAGCGAAGCUGGUUCAGUGCAAACCGAACCCUCAGAUGCUCCAGACACGAACAUGUGUAGAAGCAUCCCUCGAUAUCAGAAAUCCAUCUCAUUGCAGUAAUCAGAUCAUGUGUCCCAUCAAAAUCCGGUGGCUUCGUGUUGCUGAACUCCCGGAACAGCAACGAGUAACCCCCUUAAGGCCCUAGCACCAGCCACAACUGUAGUAGCUCCAGUAGCCGCAGCCUCAGUAACCGCUGCGUAUCUCUCUGUAACACCGUAAAAGAUUUAAAACAAUUUUUCGCAUUUUCAAACACAUUUUCCAAACACAUUCAUUAAUAAAAUGUCAUAGUAUCAUAUCUUUGUUUCACAAAACAUCCCCCAAGAUCGAAAUACAUAAAACCCCAUGUGUGUGUACGAAUCAAGCCGAUGCCUUCCCGCGGUCAACGCUGGUACCUGAAACACAUAACACGUAACACUGUAAGCAUAAGCUUAGUGAGUUCCCUAAAAUACCUCUCUAACAAAUUUCAGCCACUCGAGGCUAUAACUCUAUUGACCCUUUGGUCAAUGUGUCCCAGUGGGACCCUCUAGUCCUAACUCUCUGUGGGCCCUCUGGCCCUAACUCUGUGGACCAAAAGGUCCUAACUCUAUGGACCCANUCUAUGGAUCCACUGGUCCUACUCUAUAAACACUGAAUCUUGCAUAUCACAUACAAUAAAUCAUAACACAUAAAUAACAUGCAAAUACACUAGCACAUAACUCUAAAAUACACUGUCACAUAACUCUGUUACCACACUAGGUAAAGUAUAGUGAGAAGACUCACCUCAGGCGUCUCGGUAAAUCUCUGACUCGGUAGAAAUAUUGCCUAGCCUCCGCCUAUUCACAUAAAGUAAAUACUCUCAUAAAUAUAACUCUCGAGACUAGACUCAACCUUCCAUUGGCACCCUCAGAAGGGUAAAAAACUAUUUUACCCCCCUCUUGACACAAGGACUCCAUUGUUGACCAAACCCUAAAAGUCAACAAAAGUCAACGAUCACACAUUGACCUUACUCACCGAGUGCACUCUGGUGACUCGGCGAGUUCACACAUGUCCACUAACUCUUUGUCCCGCUUAGCACGUCGAGUCCCUCCCUAUGCUCGACGAGUCAUACCAGGGAUGAAUCGCGGGGCCACCCCUACUCAACUCGCCGAGUCUCAAGAACAACUCGGCGAGUACCGUCUUGAANCUUGAACUCCAGUCCUCUAACCCCCUUCUGACUCAUUGAGUCAUCCCCCAACUCGGCAAGUCUAUUCACUGAGUAAUUUACGUGAAACCCUAACCCUACUCGCCGAGUCUCAAGAACAACUCGGCGAGUUCAUGCCAUGCACAAACUCUAUUGACCUCCUGAGGUCAAAUCUGUGCCCCUAAAUCAUAGAUCUGGCCUCCCCAAGCAUGAAUGUCAUGCCAAGUCCGAAUCUUGAUGCUUAUAUAUCAACAACAAGGCAUCAAAAGGAGAUUUCGUCCCAAAAAUGGCAACCUAAUUCCAAUAACCCCAAACUGAUCCAUAAAGCUCCAAGGGUUAAGGUCUCUGGACCUCUUUGAGUCCAGAUCCAAGGCACAAACUCGAAGAGGGACCACUUGCUCCACAUAAUCACUCUCCAAAGGGGUUAAAAAACCCUAUCUCUAAUGAUCAACACCAAAACUAAAGGAGGUUCGAACUAUUACCUCAAAAUGAAGUCUCUGAACUCUGGAACUGCUAGAAUCGGACCUCCUCUUUGCUCUUGGUCACCUUCUUCUUGCUAAACCAAAGGUACAAGGAUCAAAAGUGACUUCUUCUUCCUCACAACGAUUUGGCUCACUCAGGGUUCUCUCAAGGGACUGGUAGCCGCAAUGGGAGGCUAUAAGUGCCCUUAAAUAGGCUCCAAACCCGGGGAAUUAGGGUUUCAUUAAACAUCGUGGACUUGCCGAGUCCGGACGUGAACCCGGAUGAACAUCCGCGACCAUACUCGACGAGUCUUGGAUCCAACUCGCCGAGUUCCUCCACAAACUUCAAAAUAAUUAAAUAAAAUAAUAUACUUGGGAAUCCGGAUGUUACAAUUCUCCCCCACUAGAAUCAGACUUCGCCCUCGAAGUCUCACUCUGGAAACAACUCCGGAUGCUGCUCACACAUCUCACGCUCUGGCUCCCAAGUAAGCUCUGACCCUUUCCAGUGCUGCCACUGGACUUGCACCAGAGGCACUUCCUUCUUCCUCAGAACCUUGAUAUUUCGAUCUCGAAUCGCCACCGGUCUCUCGACGUAGUUCAAGCCCACAUCCACCUGAAUAUCCUCUAACGACACUACUGGCGACUCAUCAGCUAUACACUUUCGCAACUGUGACACAUGGAAAGUGUCAUGAAUCUGACCCAGCUCUGCAGGUAGCUCCAGCCGGUAGGCUACCCUGCCUACCCUCGCGAUCACCUUAAAAGGACUGAUAUAUCAGGGACCCAACUUGCCCCUCUUCCUGAAUCGGAUCAUUCCUUUCCAAGGAGAGACCUUCAGGAGUACAAAGUCGCCGACCUGGAACUCGAGCUCGGCGCUUGUCCGCAUAACUCUUUUGAUGACUCUGAGCGGUCAAUAACCUCUGUCUGACCUGCUGUAUCUGCUCUGUCGUCUGAAGCACGACCUCUGUACUACCCAUCACACGCUGCCCGACUUCUCCCCAACAAAUGGGGGUCCGACACCUUCUCCCAUACAACAGCUCAAAGGGUGGCAUACCAAUGCUCGAAUGAUGGCUGUUAUUGUAGGAAAACUCUGCCAAAGGCAAAUACGUGACUCAACUCCCGCUGAAAUCCAACACACAUGCCCGGAGCAUAUCCUCGAGCGUCUGAAUCGUCCGCUCGCUCUGUCCGUCAGUCUGGGGGUGGUAUGCGGUACUAAAAUGCAGCCUAGUACCCAAUUCCUCAUGAAAUUUCUUCCAGAACCUGGAAGUGAAAUGCACAUCUCGGUCUGAGACAAUCGAGAUUGUCACUCCAUGCUGCGAUACCACUUCCCUCACGUACAUCUCUGCCAACUUCUCUGCGGAAGAGCCCUCACUGAAAGCAAGGAAGUGGGCGCUCUUUGUCAACCUGUCCACAAUCACCCAAAUUGCAUCGACUCCCCUAGCAGUCCUUGGCAAUUUGGUGAUAAAAUCCAUGGUAAUCUGUUCCCACUUCCACGCGGGAACCACCAACGGCUGCAAUUUACCGUGUGGUCUCUAGUGCUCAGCCUUAACCCUACGACAAGUUAAGCACCUCUCAACAAACCACGCGACAUCCCUCUUCAUACAGGGCCACCAAUACUCCCUCCUCAGGUCUAAAUACAUCUUAGUGGCCCCAGGAUGGAUCGAUAACUUCGACCGAUGAGCCUCUUCCAUCAAAAUGUUACGCGUCCCGCCCAAAAACAGUACCCAGAUUCGACCCUGGAAUGUCAUUAGCCCCCGACUAUCGGUAAUGAACUCGGAUACCAACCCAAAAACUCACUCUCUCUUCUGAUUUUUUGAUCUCACAGCCUCAGCCUGGGCCCCACGAAUGGUCUCCAACACCGGAGCCAUCACGGUCAAUCUCAAACAAACAUCUCACAUCGGGGCGCUCUCCGCCCUUCAGCUCAGUGCAUCGGCUACCACAUUAGCCUUACCCGGGUGGUACAGGAUCUCGCAGUCGUAAUCUUUUACCACAUCUAACCAUCUCCUCUAGAGCAUAUUCAGGUUGGGCUGAUCCAUCAAGUACUUCAAGCUCUUGUGGUCCGUGUAUAUGGUACACCGAACCCCAUACAGAUAGUGACGCCAGAUCUUGAGGGAGAACACCACUACCCCCAACUCUAGAUCGUGGGUGGGAUACCUCGUCUCAUGAGGCUUCAGCUACGUCAAUGCGUAUGCUAUCACAUGCCCUCUCUGCAUCAGCGCCGCUCCCAACCCCGAGAUCGACGCAUCAUAAUACACCACAAAGUCCUCCAUUCCAUCCGGAAGGGCUAACACCAGGGCUUCGCAUGGUCUCUGGCGAAGUGUCUCGAAGGAGGCCUGCUGUUCUAGGCCCCAUGAAAAAGCAGCACCCUUCUGGGUCAACCUGGUGAGUGGCAUGGUGAUCUUGGAGAAAUCCCUGAUAAUUCUCCGGUAAUAGCCUGCUAGCCCUAAGAAACUCUUGAUCUCGGUGGGUGACCUCAGCACCUGCCAACUCAUCACUGCCUCAACCUUGGCCGGGUCGACCAAUACCCCUUUUUGGUUAACGAGGUGCCCUAGGAACUGGACCUCUCGCAACCAGAAAUCACACUUGGAGAAUUUGGCAUAAAGCCUCUCCGAUCUCAGAACUCCGAGGAUCUCCCUCAAAUUCUUCUCAUGCUGCUCUCUGGAUCUCAAAUACACCAAAAUGUCAUCGAUACAUACUGUCACCGAGCGAUCCAAAAUCGGCCUGCACACUCUAUUCAUGAGAUCCAUGAACACCACCAGUGCAUUGGUGAGUCCGAAAGGCAUCGCCACAAACUCGUAAUAUCCAUAACGAGUCCUGAACGCUGUCUUCUGGAUGUCCUCAUCUCGCACUCUUACCUGAUGAUACCCAGACCUCAAAUCGAUCUUGGAGAACCAAGAUGCUCCCUGCAACUGAUCGAACAAAUCGUCGAUCCUCGGCAAUGGGUAACGGUUCUUGACCGUCAGCUUGUUCAACUCCCGGUAAUCAAUGCACAUCCGGUGUGAACCAUCCUUUUUCUUGACAAAAAGGAUAGGCGCUCCCCACGGCGAGCUGCUCGGCCGAAUAAACCCCUUCCCCAACAACUCCUGGAGCUGCGAGGAUAGCUCCUGCAUCUCUGGAGGUGCAAGGCAAUAGGGUACUUUGGCGAUAGGCGCGACCCCCGGAACCAAAUCGAUACUGAACUCUACCUGCCUCACGGGAGGCACGCCCAACAACUCCUCUGGAAAUACGUCCGGGAAGUCAUGCACUAUCAGAACCUCAUCAACUAACCUCGGUCUCUCUGAAUCAACCCUCGUACCCAUCACAUACGCUACAAAGCCCCUACAGCCCUGCUGUAGAUGCUCCCUUGCCCUAGCGGCCGAACAAAUUGUUGACCCAGAAAGUGUACCCUCGCCGUACACCGUAAGAACUCCCCCACUAGGGUCUCCUAUGGUCACCAGCUGUCGCUCACAGUCGAUAACCGCUCCGAAUCUGCUCAACCAGUCCAUGGCCACGAUGACACAGACAUCUCCCAUCGCAAUAGGAACUAAAUCAAUCGGGAACUCAACACCGAAAAUCUCGAGUACACACCCUCAGAUCACCUCUAUGGCAUAUACCGCCCUCUCGUCAGCUAUGGAAACUCUCAGAGGUCGACUCAACGCCUCACGGUUAACACUGAUGUGCUGACUAAAGCCAAAGAUACAAAAGACCGUCUCGCACCCGAGUCAAAUAACACCAAGGCAGGUACAUAACUCACAAGAAAAGUACCUACGCAUAACAUAAUAUAAGCAUAAUAUCUCAACAUCAAAAUAAAUACACGAAAGAAUACAUACCAGCAACGACAUCUGGCGCUGCGCGGACCUCCUCCGCGGUCAACUGAAAGGCUCUCCCUCGUGCCUUCGGUGCCUCGGCCUUCACUGGCCGGCUCUCAGUAGCUUUGAUAGCAGCAGAGGCAGAUCCCUGAGAUGCUCCCUGUGUUGAUCCCCACAGCUGUGGACAGUCUGCCUUCCGGUGUCCGGUCUGGUUGCAGUGAAGACAUACUGCAAACCCCUUGGGGCAAUCCUUGGCCAUAUGCCCCUCCUUGCCACAUUUGUAGCAAGACCCUGCUCUGCACACCCCAUCGUGGCUCUUGCCGCACUUGCCACAAGUGCGGCCCCUCUGGUUCCCUGAUCUCGAAUCAGCGGGCUUGGCCCGCUUGGCUACCGGAUGAGACUGUACCGGUCGCCGAUCCCUCCCCUGAGACUCAGCCUCUUCCCUAGCCUGGGUCUCCAGCUCUAUCUCCCUCUUCCGGGCAUUUGCCUGAAGUUCGGCAAAUGUCCGAUACGUCGAGUUCGCCACGAACUCUCGUAUAUCCCUUCUCAAAAUGCUCAGAUAUCGGCUCAUACAUGCCUGUUCGGAGUACAUGUGCUCUGGGCAGAACAUCGCCCGCUCAUGAAACAUCCUCGUAAUCACUGUAACAGACUCAGUACCCUACUUGAGGGUCAGAAACUCCUGGGCCAAACGCUCCCUCUCCACCUGGGGAACGUACUCAUCUCGGAACAUAGCAAUGAACCUCUCCCAGGUCACUGCAGCAAGCUCUGCAGGCGUAUAGUGUGCCGUCACAAACUUCCACCAAUCCUUUGCUCCCAAGCGAAGCUGGUUCAGCGCGAACCGAACUCUCAAAUGCUCUAAAGAUGAGCAAGUAAAGAAACACCCCUCUAUGUCUGAAAUCCACCUCAUCGCCGCAAUCGGGUCUUGGGUCCCGUCAAACUCCGGUGGUUUUGUGUUGCUGAACUUCUCGGAACAACAACGCAUCGCCACCCUGCGGCCUAGUUGCAGCUAUAGCUGUAGUGACCGCAUCAACAACAGCCUCAGAAAGAGCAGCGUAUCUCUCAUCAAAUGUAUCUAUCAGUGUGGGCUUGAUAGACCCGAACAUAUUUGGUAUCUCUGCCCUGAUGGCCGCUGCCACCUCCUCAUGUAUGAUCCUACGGAUCUCCUCGUCACUCGUACCACUGCUCCCUGGUGCGUGGCGUGUCCCAACCAUGAUCUCCCUCUCUCUGAAAUACAACACAAGAAUAAAUAUUAGGAAUUCGCUCGAGUGUACUCACACUCGAAUACUCCACCCUACUUGUCCCUUGGUACUCCAAGGAUUCUUACUUGGACUGUGCACUGACCCGGUGUCUUCAGUAGUACGGGCCCAAUACUACCGUCCACACCGCAUCAGCAUUCACCCCAAGUCCUCCUCCCAGAGUCCCAAAUCCCAAGUACUCUACUCUCUCUAAUAAUAUGAUACUCACUAGCAGAUCUCUCAUAAUCUCCUCGCCGCUACCUAAACACUCUGAAGUAUCCCUAGCAGGAAGACUCCUAGACUCAGGCAUCACAUAUCAGGCCACUCUAGUCCUAAUAAGAAUACCUAGUCUACUCUAGCAUGCAUAAUAUAGCUCAUCAUAUAAUAUAUCAUAUCAUAUCUCAUAACACUUAUUGUAAUGGUAUUUUGGGAAAUCACCGUUCGGGCGCUAGCUGUUCGUACACACGACUCUGCUCUGUUUUGUCUCAAAAGUUCUUCUUUUGAAAACUAUUUUAUUAUCGAAAUUUCCUCAAAUCCUCAGUUUGAGUUCAGAUACGCCCGAAGGUGCACCCGAAUCCCUCAAACCAAGGCUCUGAUACCAACUUGUAACACCGUAAAAAAUUUAAAACAAUUUUUCGCAUUGUCAAACACAUUUAGUAAUAAAUUCUCAUAGUAUCACAUCUUUGUUUCACAAAACAUCCCCCAAGAUCGAAAUACAUAAAAUCCCAUGUGUGUGUACGAAUCAAGCCGGCGCCUUCCCGCGGUCAUCGCUGGUACCUGAAAUACAUAACACGUAACACUGUAAGCAUAAGAUUAGUGAGUUCCCCAAAAUACCACUCUAACACAUUUCAGCCACUUGAGGCUAUAACUCUGUUGACCCUCUAGUCAAUGUGUCCCAGUGGGACCCUCUAGUCCCAAUUCUCUGUGGGCCCUCUGGCCCUAACUCUGUGGACCAAAAGGUCCUAACUCUAUGGACCCACUUGUCCUAGCUUUGUAAACUCUGAAUCAUGCAUAUCACAUACCACAACAAUUAUCAUACAUAAAUAGCAUGCAAAUACACAGGCACAUAGCUCUAAAGUAUACUGACACAUAAACCUGUUGCCACUCUAGGUAAAGUAUAGUGAGAAGACUCACCUCAGGCGUCUCGGUAAAUCUCUGACUCGGUAGAAAUAUUGCCUAGCCUCCGCCUAUUCACAUAAAGUAAAUACUCUCAUAAAUAUAACUCUCGAGACUAGACUCAACCUUCCAUUGGCACCCUCAGAAGGGUAAAAGACUAUUUUACCCCCCUCUUGACACAAGGACUCCAUUGUUGACCAAACCCUAAAAGUCAAUAAAAGUCAAUGGUCACACAUGCACCCUACUCGCCGAGUGCACUCUGGUGACUCGGCGAGUUCACACAUGUCCACUAACUCUUUGUCCCGCUUAGCACGUCGAGUCCCUCCCUAUGCUCCAUGAGUCAUACCAGGCACGAAUCGCGGGGCCAACCCGACUCAAAUCGCCUAGUCUCAAGAACAACUCGGCGAGUACCGCCUUGAACUCUAGUCCUAUAACCCCCUUUUGACUCACUGAGUCAUCCCCCAACUUGGCAAGUCUAUUCACUGAGUAAUUUAUGUGAAACCCUAACACUACUCGCCGAGUCUCAAGAACAACUCGGCUAGUUCAUGCCAUGCACAAACUCUAUUGACCUCCCGAGGUCAGAUCUGUGCCCCUAAACCAUAAAUCUGGCCUCCCCAAACAUGAAUGUCACGCUAAGUCCGAAUCUUGAUGCUUAUAUAUCAACAACAAGGCAUCAAAAGGAGAUUUAGUCCCAAAAAUGGCAACCUAAGUCCAAUAACCCCAAACUGAUCCAUAAAUCUCCAAGGGUUAAGGUCUCUGGACCUCUUUGAGUCCAGAUCCAAGGCACAAACUCGAAGAGGGACCACUUGCUCCACAUAAUCACUCUCCAAAGGGGUUAGAAAACCCUAUCUCUAAUGAUCAACACCAAAACUGAAGGAGGUUCGAACUAUUACCUCAAAAUGAAGUCUCUAAACUCUGGAACUGCUAGAAUCGCACCUCCUCUUUGCUCUUGGUCACCUUCUUCUUGCUAAACCAAAGGUACAAGGAUCAAAAGUGACUUCUUCUUCCUCACAACAAUUUGGCUCACUUAGGGUUCUCUCAAGGGACUGGUAGCCGCAAUGGGAGGCUAUAAGUGCCCUUAAAUAGGCUCCAAACCCGGGGGAUUAGGGUUUCAUUAAACAGCGUGGACUCGCCGAGUCCGGACGUCAACCCGGAUGAACAUCCGCGAUCAUACUCGGCGAGUCUUGGAUCCAACUCGCCGAGUUCCUCCACAUACUUCAAAAUAAUUAAAUAUAAUAAUAUACAUGGGAAUCCGGAUGUUACACUCUUGACAAACGUCUCAAUCAAGGUGGUCUUGAUAGACCCAAACAUCUCCGGUAUCUCUGUGCGGAUAGCCGCAACGACCUCAUCAUGGAUCAUCUGACGGAGCUCCUCAUCACUCACGUCGUUGGUCUCUGGUCUGUGGCGUGUCCCAACCAUGACGUCUCCGAAAUACAACAUAAAAUAUCAGAGACUUUCUCGAGUAUACUCACACUCGAUGACUCAACCCUACUUGCUCCUUAGUACCCUAAGGAUUCUUACUUGGACUGCGCACUGAUCUGGUGUUUUCAGUAGUAUGGGCCCUAUACUACCUUCCACACCGCAUCAACAUUCCUUCCAAGUCCUCCUUCUAGGAUCCCAGAUCACAAGUACUCUACAUCUCGCUAAGCUUAGGCAACCCUUUGGUAGACUUCUCAUACGCUCCUCACUGCUACCUACUCAAUCUCGAAGUAUCUCAUAGCAACAGUAAUCUCCUAGGCUAAGGCAUCACAAAUCAAGCCAUUCUAGUCCUAAUAGGAAUACCUAGCCUACUCUGGCAUGCAUAACAUAUCAUAUCAUAUCUCAAAACACAUAAUGUAAGGGUAUUUUGGGAAAUCACAGUUCGAGCGCUGGCUAAUCGUACACACUGCCUCUUUCCACUUUCCUCACAUUCCUUUACUUUUUAGAAAAAUUGUUUCUUUUAUGGAAAACUUUCUCAAAUCCUCAGUUUAAGUUCAAAUCCACUCAAAGGUGCAUCCGAAUCCCUCAAACCAAGGCUCUGAUACCAAUUUGUAACGUCAUAAAAAUUUAAAACAAUUUUUCAUUUAAAAAAAACAACCAUAACUCAUAUAAUGGUUCUCAAAAUCUCAUAAUGUCAAAUGUCAUAAUAAUAACAAAUCCCAGAAUCUCAUACAACUCCUCUUCCAGUGUGUACCGAUCAUGCCGACUCCUUCCCGCGAUCCUCGCUAGUACCUGAAACACACAUCACAUAACACGGUAAGCAUAUAUGCUUAGUGAGUCCCCCAAAAUACCACAUACAACACAUACGCCACUCAAGACUAUAUCCCAGUACGACCCUUCGGUCGAUGUGUCUCAGCGGGACCCUCUGGUCCGGUUUGAUUGAAGACCCUCUGGCCUCCUGAGUCGUUGGACCCUCCAUUCCGGUCUAUAUAACACAUAACGUACAUAUAGCAAAAUGCAUAUAAUCUCAAUCAUACACAUAACACGUAAGACCCUCCGGUCUGCAUAUAGCUACAACUCUAGGUAUUGUAUAGUGAGAAGACUCACUUUGUAUGAAGUCGGAUAAACUCUCGUGCUCGAAUAUCCCGAACUAGCCUCCUCCUAUCAACAAGAUAACAUCUCUAAUCAAAAUCCUAUCAUGUCCUCAUCUCUAAUAAUGGGCAGAAGACCAUUCUACCCUUCUCUGACCUCUCUUGAAUCAUCUUGACCAAAACCCCACGGUCAACUCGAGUCAACGAUCAAACUUUGACGAGACUCGUCGAGUGCACAUGAGUGACUCAGCGAGUCCAAGCGUGUCUUCUAAAUCCUUCUAAGGCCUCACUCGACUCGUCGAGUGAACCUUCCACUCGACGGGUCACCACUGGUCAUGAAUCGCGGGGCAAUCCCGACUCGACUCGUUGAGUUCUCUUAUGGAAUCGACGAGUUUCUACCAUAGCCACACUCAAAUGACCUUCUGAGGUCAGAUCUGUUUCUCUAACAUAUAGAUCUGACUUCUCAAUGCUCAAUAAUCACGUAAAGGUCCAAUCUUGGCACUCAUGCAACGUCCAUAACGCUUCCUUUGGUGAAAUAGCUUCUAAAAUGGCACCGUAGGUUCAUAUCUCCAAAGGAAUAGCAUAAAGCAGGAUGGUUGGGACUCUCUGGACCUCUUAAGGUCUAGAUCUAAGAGUUAUUCCACCUUGGGACCUCAAAAGCUUUGAAUCCAAGCUAAAUAAGGGGAAAGAAAACCAUAGAUUCAAGGGGAUCACCAUCAACACGAGAUUGAGCAUAGAUCCAUACCUAUAGUAGCCUCCUCUGAUAAAAUGGUAGCAGAUCUGAGCUCCUUAAGCUGUUUAGCUUGCCCUCCUUCCUUAUUCCUUGCAAAAUCACACUAGAGAUGAUGAAAAUGGCUUCCUCUCUCUCUCUCUCUCUCUCUCUCUACGUUCUCUGGUUCUAUGGUGCUCUCAAGGGUGAAGGUGGCCGCAAAUGAGGGCCAUAAGAUCCCUUAAAUAGGGCACAUACCCGAGGAUUUAGGGUUUCUGCCCACAACGCGGACUAGUCGAGUCGACUCCCCGACUCGUCGAGUCCCUUCAUUAAAUUCAGUCAGCAAAUUGCGAUCUUACUCCACGAGUUUAGGCGUCAACUCGUCGAGUCCCCCCUUUUGUCAAAAAUAAGUAAUUAAAAUAUGAUACCUGGAAUUCCGAAUGUUACGAUUCUCCCCCAUUAGAAUCAGACUUCGCACCCAAAGUCUCGCUCUGCAAAUAGCUCUGGAUACUGCUCCCGCAUCUCCAACUCCGGCUCCCAAGUCAGCUCAAACCCUGUUCGAUGUUGCCACUGGACCUGAACCAGGGGAACCUCCUUGUUCCUCAGAACCUUGAUCCUCCGAUCCAGGAUCCCGAUCGGCCUCUCAACAUAAUUCAGGCGCGAAUCCACCUGAAUAUCCUCUAGUGGCACUACCGCUGACUCGUUGGCUAUACACUUCCUCAAAUGAGACACGUGUAAGGUAUCAUGUAUCUGGCUCAACUCCGCAGGUAGCUCUAAAUGAUACGCUACCCUGCCUACCCUCGCAGUCACCCUGAUAGGACCAAUGUACCGGGGUCCCAGCUUGCCCCUCUUCCUGAAUCGGAUCACUCCUUUCCACGGAGAUACCUUUAGGAGUACGAAGUCACCAACCUGAAACUCGAGCUUGGAUCGUCGCCUAUCCGCAUAACUUUUCUGACGAAUUUGAGCUGUCAGCAACCUUUGUCUGACCUGCUGUAUCUGCUCAUUCGUCUGAAGCACUAUCUCAGUGCUACCCAUCACUCGCUGCCCUACCUCUCCCCAACAGAUGGGAGUCCGACACCUCCUCCCACACAACAACUCGAAGGGAGGCAUACCAAUACUCGAAUGGUGGUUGUUGUUAAAGGAAAACUCAACCAAUGGUAAGUACGUGUCCCAACUUCCUUCGAAGUCCAACACACAUGCUCGAAGCAUGUCCUCGAGCGUUUGAAUCGUCCGCUCACUCUGUCCGUCCGUUUGUGGGUGGUAAGCGGUGCUGAAAUGCAACCUCGUACCCAACUCCUCAUGGAACUUCUUCCAGAACCUGGAAGUGAAACGCACGUCUCAAUCUGACACAAUCGAGAUUGGCACCCCAUGCCGCGACACCACCUUCCUUACGUAUAUCUCCACCAGCCUCUCAGCGGAAGAGCUGUCACUGAUAGCAAGGAAGUGAGCGCUCUUCGUCAGCCGGUCAAUGAUCACCCAAAUUGCAUCGACACCCCUUGCGGUCCAUGACAAUUUGGUGAUGAAAUGUAACACCCCGAGAUUCAGGUACAUUUCUUUCAUCCUUGUUCUUUGUCGAUUGGUCAUGAUUAGUCCUUGAGUGGAGGAUUUAUAGCAAGUGAGUACGCUGGGCGUAACUCUGGGUGUACCUAGAGUUACGCCGGGCGUACCCAGCCUAGAUGCAAAAACCCUAAUCCGUCUUGUGCACUAUUUAAAGGGUGCUAAGGAUCAUUUCUCAGCCUCUAUAUCAGUGAGUGAAACCCUAAAAGAGAGCCUCCCAUCGUCCUUAGUGUGUGAGAGUGUUGUUGGAGCUAAUUGUGCUUUGGUGACCUAAUGAAGGAGAAGGAAAGGAGCUCUUGGAAGCUAAAGCUUGAGGUGCCAUUUUGGAUCUAAGAUCUACAGAGAAAAGGGCUACACUUGGAGGUAUAAAGUUCAAAACUUUCCUCUUCUUUUGGUUGUUGUUUCAUGUUCCAUUUCUAGGGCUAAAACCCCAAAGGUGGAGACUUUAUGAGUGUAAAGUGCUCCAUGGUCCGAGAUCUGUCCCAUUUUAGUGGUAUUAGUGAUUUAGAACCAUAAAGUUUCCAUCUUGGAUGUUAGUUUGAGGUCAUGCUUGUGUAAUAAGCCUUCUAGAGUUAAAGGAUGGGACAUUAUGGAAGUUGGUGGCUUGUUCAGCCUUGCAAAGGCUUAAAGUCAUCAACUUUAUGGAUUAAGAGGCUUAGAUGUGGUCAGAUCUAGAAUUUGGACGUGGGUCUUAACUGUUUAAGACCUCAAGAGCUAAGGGGAUGAAGAUGGGGAGUACGCAGGGCAUAACCCCAGUACGCGUCGCGUACUGGGUGGCGUUCCCCGAUUCUGAGAUGCAACCGGGUACGCUCAGCGUACACAUCUGGUACGCGCAGCGUAACCCAGAAAGUUGACAGCUGGUUGACUUUUAGGGUAUGGUCUAUUUUGGGGCCUUUUGAGUUACGAGAGGGGUAAAAUGGUCCUUUACCCUUAUGAGAGUGUCAUAAGAGGACAUAGUCUAGCCUUUGAGAGUUAUAUUAAAUAGAGUAUUUAUUUCAUAUGAUUAGGCGGAGGCUAGGCCAGCGUUUACCUUGUCAGAGAUUUACCGACAUACCCGAGGUGAGUCUUCUCACUAUACUUUACCUAGUGUGGUAACAGAGUUAUGUGACAGAGUACUAUAGAGUUAUUUAUGUGUUGUGAUUUAUUGUGAUAUGUGAUAUGCAUGAUUCAGAGUUACAGAGCUGGGACUUUCGGGUCCCUAGAGUUAGGGACAGAGGGCCCACCUAGAGUUGGGGCUGGAGGGCCCCAUUGAGACACAUUGACCAGAGGGUCGACAGAGUUACAGCCUCGAGUGGCUAUUAUGUGUUAGGGGGGGAUUUUGGGGAACUCACUAACGUUUNGAGUGGUAUUUUAGGGAACUCACUAAGCUUAUGCUUAUAGUGUUAUGUGUUAUGUGUUUCAGGUACCAGUGAUGACCGCGGGAAGGCGCCAGCUUGAUUCGUACACACACAUGGGAUUUUAUGUAUUUUGAUCUUGGGAGAUAUUUUGUGAAACAAAGACAUGAUACUAUGACGUGUUAUGAAUGAAUGAGUUUGUAAAAAUCUGUUUGAAAUUGCGAAAAAUUGUUUUAAUUUUUACGGUGUUAUCCAUAGAAAUCUAUUCCAACUUCCACUGGGGAACCUAAAGUGGCUGCAACUUGCCAUGCGGACGUUGGUGCUCGACCUUAACCCUGCGACAGGUCAAGUACCUCUUGACAAACCUUGCCACAUCCCUCUUCAUACAGGGCCACCAAUACUCCCUCUUCAGGUCCAAAUACAUCUUAGUGGCCCCGGGAUGGAUCAAGAACCUCGAUAUGUGCACCUCCUCCAUCAGGAUGGUGCGUGUCCCGCCCGCAAACGGUACCUAAAUCCGACCCUGAAAGGUCAAAAGCCCUCGGCUAUCGGUAACGAACUCAGAUACAUGCCCAAUCACCCACUCUCUUUUGCGGUUCUCUUGACUCACUGCCUCUGCCUGGGCCUCUCGUAUUGUAUCCAACACCAGAGUGAUCACCGUCAUCCUUAUACAAAUGUCUCGUAUCGGGGCACUCUCCACCCUGCGGCUCAGGGCAUCAGCUACAACGUUAGCCUUGACCGGGUGGUACAGGAUUUCACAGUCUUAAUCCUUUACCACAUCCAAGCAUCUCCUCUGGCGGAUGUUCAGGUUGGGCUGGUCCAUCAAGUACUUCAAACUCUUGUGGUCUGUGUAUAUGAUACACUGAACGCUAUACAAAUAAUGACGCCAUAUCUUGAGGGCGAACACCACAACCCCCAAAUCCAAAUUGUGGGUGGGAUACCUCACCUUGUGAUGCUUCAGCUCCCUCGAUGCGUACGCUAUCACGUGCCCUCUCUGCAUGAGCACCGCACCCAACCCUGAUAUCGAUGUGUCACAAUACACCGCAAAAUCCUCUAUUCCCUCUGGAAGGGCUAACACCGGGGCUUCACACAGUCUCUGGCGAAGAGUCUCAAACGAGGUCGGCUACUCUGGACCCCACGUAAAUGCAACGCCCUUCCGAGUCAGCCUGGUGAGUGGCACGACAGACUUAGAGAAAUCCUUGAUGAAUCUCCGAUAGUAGCCGGCCAACCCCAGAAAACUCCUAAUCUCGGUGGGGGAUCUCGGAACCUCCCAACUCAUCACCGCCUCAAUCUUGGCCGGAUCAACCAGUAUCCCAUUCUGAUUAACGAGAUGCCCCAAGAACUGUACCUCUCAUAACCAGAAAUCAUACAUGGAGAAUUUGGCGUAAAGCCUCUCCGAUCUCAAAACCCCGAGGAUCUCCCUCAAAUACUGCUCAUGCUGCUCUCGGGAUCUCGAAUACACCAGAAUAUCGUCGAUGAACACGAUCACCGAUCGAUCCAACAUCGGUAUGCAUACUCUGUUCAUUGGAUCCAUGAACGCUAUUGGAGCAUUGGUAAGCCCGAAAGGCAUCACCAUGAACUCGUAAUGCCCAUAACGAGUCCUAAACGCUGUCUUCUGGAUAUCCUCAUCAUGCACCCUCAUCUGGUGAUAUCCAGACCUCAAGUCUAUCUUGGAAAACCAAGAUGCUCCCUGUAACUGAUCGAACAAAUCAUCGAUCCUCGGUAAUGGAUAAGGGUUCUUGAACGUCAACUUGUUCAACUCCCGGUAAUCAAUGCAUAUUCAGUGUGAACCAUCCUUUUUCUUGACAAAUGGAUCGNNNNNNNNNNNNNNCUCCCCAAGGGGAACUACUCGGCCUAAUAAACCCCUUCCCCAGUAGCUCCUGAAGCUGCGAGGAUAACUCCUGCAUCUUUGGCGGCGCAAGGCGAUAAGGCGCCUUGGUGAUACGCGCUGCCCCGGAACUAAGUCGAUGCGGAAGUCCACCUGCCUCUCGGGAGGUACACCCAGAAACUCCUCGGGAAAAACAUUUGGGAACUCAUGCGCUAUCAGAACAUCAUCAACCGAACUCGGCCGCUCUGCGGCCACUCGUGUAUCCAUCACAUAAGCUACAAACCCACUGCAGCCCUGUUGUAAACACUGUCUCGCUCUGGCAGCUGAACAAAAUGCUGACCCACAUCGGGUACCCUCUCCAUAUACAGUCAGCAUUCCCCCACUAGGGUCUCGUAUCGUCACCAUCUGCUGCUCGCAGUCUAUAACAGCCCCAAAUUGGCUCAACCAAUCCAUGCCCACUAUAACGCAAAUGUCCCGCGUCGCAAUCAGAACUAGAUCUAUCGGGAACUCAACACCGAAUAUCUUGAGUACACAUCCUCGAAUCACGUCAGUAGCAUACACCGCUUGCUGGUCAUCUAUGGAAACUCGUAGAGGUCGACUCAACGCCUCUCGUCGACUAAUGAUGUGCUGACCAAACGCUAAUGACACAAAUGAUCGACUCGCAACCGAGUCAAAUAACACCAAAGAAGGUACAAAACUCACAAGAAAAGUACCUACGCAUAUCAUAAUAUAAGCACAAUAUCUCAACACAGCAUAAAUAAAGGAAAGAAUACAUACCAGCCACGACAUCGGGCGCUACGCGGACCUCCUCUGCUGUCAACCAGAAGGCUCUCCAGCGAGCCAUCGGUGCCUUGGCCUUCACUGGCCGACCCUCAGUAGCUCGUGCAGUAGCAUGGGUAGAUCCCUACGCUGAUCCCUGUAACAGCUGUGGGCACUCGGCCUUCCAGUGGCCGGUCUGGUUGCAAUGAAAGCAAACCAAGAAUCCCUUAGGGCAAUUGUUAGGCGUGUCAAACCCAACAAAUAAAGGGGUACGAUAUACUCCAAAAGAAUCCCACUAUAUUGCACUAAAAGGUAGGACAAGGCAAGCAGGGUCGAUCCACAGAGACACGGGAUAAUUAGUCUAUACCUCUUUACACAAGGUACUGUGGUCACCAAUAGUAAAGAGGGGGGUUUAGAAUGAAAUAAUUAAAACAAACAAUUAAAAACACCAGUAAUCAACAAAAAGGGUGAAUUAAAUUCAGAAAUGGUAUGGACUCCAACCUCAUGUAUGACGACUUAGCAAUGUGAUUCCAAGAUAACAUGAUAUUUGCUCAAUUCUAUCUAAGUUGGUACUUGAAAGUGUUAACAAGCUCUAACACUUCCCAUUCACCACAUUAAUUAACCAAAACAAGCUCUUUGAUUAACCCUAACCUUACUAACCUAAUCUAAACACGCUCUUAGAAUUAGAUUGAAAGAUUGAAUUAAACUUUAUGUGAAUGUUCCCAACAACACCCGAUACUCCUCACAAGCUAGCGUAAGAGUGUGUGAAUAAGAUUUACACUAAAUUCAUUUAAUGGAAAUCAGUUUAGUGCUUGUUACUUGUUCAAUUUCACAAAACAAUUACGGAUUUUGUAAAAGAGAUAACUUGAAUGACCUAACCCUAAUUCAAAUGGCCAAUAAGAGUCACAAUUAGAAUCAAAAAUUUGCUUAAAUCAAAAUCAAAUUCACUAGAUAGAAAUUAAAAGCAAACAUCAAGUCAUAUGAUUGAAAUCACAACUAAGAAGUCAAGACAUGAAGUUGGAGAAACUAGGGUUCUAACCACACAUGGAUAGAACAAGAUCACAAGAAUAGAAGAUGGAAAUAAUGUGCAAUUACAACUUACAAAUAAGAGAAAUAAUGUUUCCAAAUGAUAAAUGAUCAAAUCCAUGAAAAAACCUUUGAAAUCCCCUCUAAAAUGUGCUAUGAUAUGUUGUGUGUCCCCAAAAUGACCCAAUUUUCCGCAAUAUGAAAAAUAGAAAAACUGCCAAAAGGUAGUUUUCUUGGGUCGAACUGUUGGAUUAAUGUCUAAGUCCAUAACUAUAAUUGGUAAGACUUGACCCGACCCGGCAUGGUCCAUUUGGGUUGCAUGGCAUCAUGCACUUGGAUAGACUAAAAUGAGAGAAAUAACACUUAAGGUUUAUUAAUAUAUUAUAAGUUCUAAUAUAUUAAUAAGAUUAUUUAAUUAGUAUUGAUCAAUAAUUAAUUUAGAAUUAAUUAUGUGAUCAAAAGAAGACUAAUUAAAUAUAUGGGUUGAUUGUGUAAAUCAUCCAUACUUAUAUAGUGGGCUAAUGCUCCAUGGAUUAUCAAGUUGGGCUAAAACCCAUUGGAUGCUCCAUGGUGUAUUUGAACCCAUGGAUCCAUGGAAAUGGAUAGCCAUGACAAUUAGGGUUUACCCUAAUUGUAACACACUAUAUAAUGAUCUCUUUCUUGGGAAAAUCGGCGACUAUGAUAUGCAUGGAGGGCAAGCCGAUUCUUGAAGUGUUCUAAUUUCUCUCUAAGUUAUUCCAAGUGCUUAUGGUGUUGUGUGAACCAUUUGAGGUGUCACACUUGGGGCACUAGGCACUCAAGCUUCAUGAAGACAAGCACCAACAAAAGGUAUGUUAUUCUAACUUGUGUUAUUCAAAGUUUUGUAUGCUAGAAUAGAACAAUACCUUGGAAAGUUGAUAUUUGCAUGUAUAAUAGAGAAAACAUAGAUCCAAGGUAUUUAGGGUUGCAUGUACACUUAGGAGUGUUAGAUUGCUCAAAACCCAACAGUGGUAUCAGAGCCUAGGCUUGUUUUCUUGUUGUACUUGCUUAAACUGCUUAAAAAUCGACUUUUGGUGCUGUCUGCCCAGCAGACUCGCCGAGUCCAUGAAGGGACUUGACAAUUCCAAGGAAAAAUGCAUGCAACUCGCCGAGUUUGUUCAUGCACUCGACGAGUUGGACCCCCAGACAACAUAUUUUUGAGUUCUGGUGCUGGAAUUGGUCUGGAAUCAUUACCUUUGACUGUUUUGGGCUUAUAAAACUUGUUUUGAAUGUGGUAAUGAUUAUGUUAAACCAAUUUCAAUGCUAUAAUAAAAGUUUCAAGUUUAUAUGUGUUCAUGUUAUUCUUGAAAAUUGUUGAUUAUGAAUGAUCAUGCUUAUGAGUUUUGCUAGAUCAUAGGAAUUGUGUGCAAAUUGUUUGUUGAUAUAAUUCAUGAUCUUGUUGAAAAUUGUAUGGAGUUCAUAACUUGUCCUCAAGUUAUGAAUUUUCAAGAAUUUUAUGUUUCCUUGAUUUAUGAGUUAGUUUAGAUUGAUAAUGAAAAAAUUAUGUUUUAGUUGUUUUCAAUCCAUAUUAGUCUAAAAGAAGUUCAUAAAAUAUGUUUUUGUAGCUUGUCUUCAAGUUAUGUGAAAAGUCAUAUUUAUGAAUCUUAAAAACUCAUAAAAGUUUUGUAGGUUACAUAAAAUGUAAGAGUUUUUUCCAUUAAAUAGUUUAAUGACUCCAUAACUUGUCCUCAAGUUAUGGAUGUUGAAGAGACACUUCUUUAAAGUGUUUUUAAAGAAUAAGGGGUUACAUUAAAAUGAAGAGUCUUCAUUUUAAUGAACCAUUAAACUCAUAAGUUAUGAUUUAAAGAGUCUUGAAAUAGUUUCAAAACUUGCCCUCAAGUUUUGGAAUUUGAAAAGUUACUCCUCAUGUAUACUUUAAUUCCAAAUUGAACAUUGAAAUUUUAAAAAGUUUAAAAUUCAACCCUUAUACUAUUAUUAUAAUUUUAAUUAUAUAGAUAUGUAUAAGAGGAAGUCAAUCUUACCGUUAGUAGGCCUCAUUCACGAAGCCGGUCUAUAAGGUGGGUAUAAGGUUGUUGCCUAUAAAAUGGUGACUUAAUGGGUGUCCACUCUCACCCACCGCUUGCUUGAUCGGUGGAGGGUCGUUAGCCGAACGGGUAAGACAAGGACUUAUUAAUUCUCAUUCAAAGUAUGAUGAAUAUUAUAAAGUAACUAAAUGUUUUAUUAAAUUCCCAAUCUUAGUUACUUUAGGAAAAAUGUGAAUAAGGUGCUAUUCCAUGAAAUUACACUUUACACUUUGAUUAAGUCGUUGGUGGAGCGUGUGUGGUUAACCGGCACACUAACUUGGACUUAACAAGGUAGGUAAAGGGUGACUUAGGGUUUAUUAUAGUAUCGAUGGAGCGUGUGUGGUUAACCGGCACAUCGAUUGAGUGAUAAACUUUAAGGGUACCAAGUGAUUUGCAUGGUUACUUCACACCUCGUUUUGUGAUCCUCGGUAUCCCAGUCACAAAACUUGGAGGGCACACUCGAGAUUGAAACAUGCCUUUGAAAAGUUCAUUGAAUCUCAAAGAAUCUAGGAAUUUCUAAGAACCAUUCAAAAACCUAAUACUAAAAUAUUGCGGUUUUCGUGGUGGAAAUUGGUGAAUCGUCAUUCACCUACCUUUCAAAUAUGAUAUAGCUUAGAUUACGGCAUACCUCUUCUAAGUUAUAUUAUAUUGUGAUUGGAUCCUAGCCUUAAUAUUACAUUUGGGUGUUUUAUUAAGGACUCUCUUAUAUCUAAACUAAUCUUGUCCUCUUUCCUUCAGAUGUCUUUCAACAAUGCUUCUGGCUCUAAUCCUAAUGGCUCCUUUACCCUUAUGAACUUGUGUGGGAAAGUCACCUUUGAUGGAUCCAACUUCAAUGAGUGGAUCAGAAACAUCAGGAUGAUUACCCGCUACGAGGACAAAGAAUAUGUCCUUGACAAGGAGCUUAAGGAGAUUGAUGAGUCCACUGCAACUCCUCAGGAGAUCGCUGAAUUUCGGGCACAUGAAAGGGAUGCUACGAAAGUGGCUUGCAUCAUGAUGGCCACGAUGACAGCGGAACUCCAAAAGUCUUAUGAGGAUUUCUACCCUUAUGACAUGCACCAAGAUUUGAUGGAAAGAUACCAUCAAAGUGCAAGACAAGAGAGGUAUGAAAUCAUCUGCUCCAUGAUAACAACCAUGAUGAAGGACGGGGAAUCCGUCACGAGCCACAUGCAGAAAAUGCAAAGGUAUGUGGAUCGUUUGCUGAAGCUUAAUGUGAACUUCCCGGAGGAUCUUGCAAUAGAUAUUAUUUUGCAUUCCUUACCAUCGUGCUAUGAUCAAUUCCGCAUGACAUAUCACAUGAACAAGGAAGAAGUCACCCUCAGCAAACUUCAGGGACUUCUCAAGACCGCAGAAACAGGUCUUAAGGGGAAGUCGGUUGCUAUCACUCCUACUCAAAACUCUACUCCGGUUUUGGCAAUCGGGAAAAGUCGAGGGAGGAAGAGAAAGAGCUCUUCUAAGGGUACCAAGGCUCGGACCCUUGAUGGCUCUUCUUCAAGUGGAACCAAGAAAGGUUUCGUUACUCCUUCUUCUGACCCAAAAGAGGCUGAAUGCUUCUAUUGCCAUGAAAAAGCUCAUUGGAAGCGGAACUGCCCAAAAUACCAGCAAGAUGUGAAGGAUGGGAAAGUUAAACCCAACCAUGCAGGUAUUUACACUAUCAUUUCUAAUAACUCACCCCAUUCUAAUUCUUGGGUCCUUGAUACCGGGUGUGGUAUUCACAUUUGUUGUGACUUGCAGGGACUAAGAAGAAGUGAGGAUGUGGAGCAAGGAAGGAUAAACUUGAUCAUGGGGAAUAGGAAAGCUAUACCUGUUACCAAGAUUGGAGUUUAUACUUUAUCGCUAAGUAGUGGGUUUAGUUUAGAUUUGAAUAAGUGUUGUUAUUCGCCAGGAAUGGCAAGAAAUAUUAUUUCCUUUCAUGCUUUGUACAAACAAGGGUUUACCUUUUCAUUUAAUAAUGAAGUUGGUUCUAUAGAUGUUUUCUAUAAUAAUGUCUUUUAUUUUAAAGCAUUACCUUGUGAUGGUGUGUAUGAAGCUGUAUCUGUUGUAGAUAACUUGGGAAAUAAUGUUUUGUGUAUUGAUUCUACUAAUAAUAACUUGGAUAAAGCAUCUUUAUGGCAUUGUCGUCUUGGACAUAUAAGCAAGAAACGCAUAGGCCAACUCCAAAAGGAUGGAGUCUUGGAGUCGUUUGACCUAAAGUCAGAUGAUAGUUGCGAAUCAUGCUUACUUGGAAAAAUGACAAAGUCACCCUUCACAGGUUCGUGUGAGAGGGGUGAAGGUUUGUUGGACCUUAUACACACGGAUGUGUGUGGACCAUUCAAACAUGCCACAAGGGAUGCUAAUCGUUAUUAUUUGACUUUUACUGAUGAUUAUAGUAGAUAUGGAUAUGUCUACUUGAUCAAGCAUAAGUCAGAGACUUUCGAGAGGUUUAAGGAAUUUAAACAGGAAGUCGAGAAUCAAUUGGGCAGGAACAUUAAGAUGCUUCGAUCCGAUCGUGGUGGUGAGUAUCUUAGUUCAGAGUUCCUCGACUAUCUAAGGGAAUGUGGGAUAGUCUCACAAUUGACACCUCCCAGGACACCACAGUUGAAUGGUGUGGCUGAGAGGCGUAAUCGAACCUUGUUAGAUAUGGUUCGUUCCAUGAUGAGUCGAGCUACGCUACCAAUCUCAUUCUGGGGGUAUGCCUUAGAGACUGCCGCCCAUAUUCUUAAUCUAGUCCCUACAAAGAAAGUUGCCAAAACUCCUCACGAGAUGUGGACUGGUAAAGUACCUAAACUAGACCACAUCAAGAUUUGGGGUUGCGAGGCUUUCGUGAGACGCGAGACUCAUGAUAAGCUCGAACCUCGAAGCGAGAGGUGUAUUUUCAUCGGUUACCCACAGCGAUCCUUUGGUUACCUCUUCUACAGACCUAGUGACAAUGUGGUCUUUGUAGCAAGAAGAGGAGUCUUUCGAGAAAGAGAGUUUAUAAGCCAAGGAGACAGUGGGAGGCAAAUUGAUCUUGAAGAAAUUCAAGAAUCAAGCGGUGAAGGAACUUCAAACUCUAGCCCUCAACUUGAGGAGGAAACUCCUGUUGAGCCAAUUGACAAAUCUGUACCUCUGAGACGUUCCACGAGAGUUAGGAGUGCACCUGAGCAUUACUAUGGAUUCCAUAUUACUGCAGAAGGUGAGACACUUAUUAGUGAUGAGACACUAGUAAGUCAAGAUGACCCUAACAGCUACGAGGAAGCCAUGGCAGGCCCCGAGUCUGCUAAAUGGAAAGAGGCUAUGGAUAGCGAGAUACAAUCCAUGUAUGACAAUCAAGUUUGGAACUUGGUUGAAAAUGUACCAGGUCGUAAGACAGUAGGGUGCAAAUGGGUCUUCAAGAAGAAGACCGACAUGGAUGGUAAAGUACACACUUAUAAGGCUAGACUGGUUGCAAAGGGCUUCUCUCAAAUUCCUGGAGUGGAUUAUGAUGAGACCUUUUCUCCGGUAGCCAAGAUUAAGUCUAUUCGGGUUCUGUUAGCCAUAGCUGCAUUUCAUGACUAUGAAAUAUGGCAGAUGGAUGUCAAAACCGCUUUCCUUAAUGGAAAGUUGGCUGAAGAUGUUUACAUGAGUCAGCCAGAGGGUUUUGUCAGCAACGAGUACCCUAAUAGAGUGUGUAAGCUUGAGAAAUCCAUUUAUGGAUUGAAGCAAGCACCUCGCAGAUGGAAUCUUUGCUUUGAUGAAAAGGUCAAGGAAUUUGGCUUUUCUAGGAGUGAAGAUGAAUCUUGUGUGUAUGUCAAGGCUAGUGGGAGUAUAGUUAGCUUUUUGGUAUUGUAUGUGGAUGACAUACUACUCAUAGGAAACGACAUUCCAACCCUGCAGGAAGUAAAGUCCUGGCUUGGGAAGUGUUUCGCUAUGAAGGACCUUGGUGAAGCUGCCUAUAUUCUAGGGAUAAGAAUCUUGAGAGAUCGGAGUAAAAGACUAAUUGGACUUAGUCAGAGUACCUACUUGGAUAAGGUGCUGAAGAGAUUCAGCAUGCAGGAUUCCAAGAAAGGAGAGUUACCCAUCCAGAGUAACACCAGAUUGAGUAAGACACAAAGCCCUAGCACUGAGGCUGAGAUAGCAGAAAUGAGUCGAACACCUUACGCUUCGGCUGUAGGAUCGAUCAUGUAUGCUAUGACGUGUACUCGACCCGAUGUAGCUUUUGCCUUGAGCAUGGUUAGCAGGUAUCAGGCGAACCCUGGCAAGGCACACUGGACUGCGGUAAAGAAUAUCCUCAAGUACCUACGGAGGACUAAGGACUGGGUCCUUACCCUCGGUGGGAGUGAUGACUUGAGAGUUGUAGGGUAUAGUGAUGCUAGCUUCCAGACUGAUAGGGAUAAUUUCCGCUCUCAGUCGGGCUGGGUCUUUACCCUAAACGGAGGAGCAAUUUCUUGGAAGAGUUCCAAGCAAGAGACAGUGGCAGAUUCUACUUGUGAAUCAGAGUAUAUUGCAGCUAGUGAAGCAGCAAAGGAGGCGAUAUGGCUGAAGAACUUCAUUGGAGACCUUGGAGUUGUACCAGCUAUUAAAGAGCCAAUGGAAAUUUUCUGUGAUAGUGAAAGUGCUGUUGCCUUAGCCAAGGAACCAAGGGAUCAUGGGAGAUCCAGACACAUCGACAGAAAAUACCAUUUCAUUAGACAUCGGAUCGAAGAAGGACUCCUCGUGGCAAAGAGGGUAUCAUCGGAUGAGAACCCAGCAGAUCCCCUCACGAAGGGACUGAGUAGGGUUAAGCAUCUCCAGCAUGCUCGGAGCAUAGGGCUGAAGGAUGAUAUAAGUUUUAGUAGUUAGAUAACCCAGAAAUUUGUAAAGUGUAAUUGACAUUUGAUGAUGAAUAAAAGGUGUUUUAUUUAUGAGUAAAGUGUUGCUAUCUCUUGUCGAUCGUUUACUAUAUUUCUUUUGCAUGUUUUGACUUCCAGAAUAAUUUUGUUUGGUAUAACAUAUUAUUCAAACCUCCACAGUCGGUCAUAUGUUGGAAGUAGAUAUGAAUCAAGACUGUCAUGUUUGGUUGUAGAGGUCUUGGACAAGGCUACAACAAUCAUGAGUGCUCAUAAGUUCUGAGCAUUGGACUCAACCCACGCUCACUGGAAUCACUUCAUGGAAUUCUAUCUCGAGUGAUCGUGAGACGGUAAUAUCAUAUAAGUCUUCAAACCUAGAGAUAUGAUUUGUUACUUACAAGUUGGUUAUGCAUUGACUGUACGAAACCGCAUUGGUAACUCGAUGUUAUAAAACGUACUUUUGUGUGUAAUUCAAUGAGUGGUAGAACAAACAUAUGAGUCGAAGUUUAUCUGUUCCUUCUUGGAUUAGAAGCUGAUAUCUGGGCCCCUCGAUGAUUUUGUUUUGACCCAUGUACCGGGCCCGGUCAGAACUAAGUUGAUGUGUUCAAUUAAGUUCUAUGUCAAACAAAUCGGAAAUCGGGAAACAAAUGCUGGACAAUAAGCAAGACAAUGUUCCAUGUAUUUGUCCGGCUGAUAUCUAGAACGGAGGAUUAUAUGAUCACUUAUCUUAAAUGGCGUACCAUCAUCUUCUCAGUUCCGAGAGACCUUGAAAGAGCUACGAUUGCCGGUCGGUUCCUGAAGUACUAGAGAUAUAGUUAUUAGACUUAUCCAAGUGGGAGACUGUUGGAUAAGGUGUCUAAGUCCAUAACUAUUUCGGGCUUGUACUUGACCCGACCCGGCAUGGUCCAUUUGGGUUGCAUGGCACCAUGCAAUUGGAUAGACUAAAUGAGAGAAAUAACACUUGGAGAUUAUUAAUAUAUUAUAAGUUCUAAUAUAUUAAUAAUAUUAUUUGAUUAGUUGAUCAAAGAAUUAAUUUGGAAUUAAUUAAGUGAUCAAAGGAUAACUAAUUAAAUAUAUGGGUUGAUUAUGUAAAUCAUCCAUAUCUUGUAUAGUGGGCUAAGAGGCUCCAUGGAUUAUCAAGUUGGGUUCUACCCAUAGGAUGCUCCAUGGAUGCUCCAUGGGAGUUACAAACCCAUGGGUCAUGGAAAUGAAGAGUCAUGACACAUUAGGGUUUACAUGGUGUAACCCUAGAUGUGCCAACACUAUAUAAGAGUCCCAUUCUCCACAAAAUUGGCUACACAAGUUGAACACUAAGAAACUAGAGGGCUUGGCCGAUUUUGAGAAGUGUGUGUUAUCUCAAGAGUCUUUCCAAGAGCAUUUGGUGUUGUGUGAAGCAUUUGAGGCAUCACACUUGGGGUGCUAGGCUCACAAGGUUUCAAGGAACACAAGCAACAACAAGGUAAGUUAUUCUAUCUAUGAUUCAAGUUAAAAUUGUUCCCCAUGUAUGCUAGAUAGGAAUAUAACCUUGGAAUUCAACUUUGCAUGAUAAUUAGACAAACAUAGAUCCAAGGUUAUUAGGGUUGCAUGUACACUUAGGAAGUGUUAGAAUGCUCAAAACCCAUCAGUGGUAUCAGAGCCUAGGCUUGUUUGUUUGUUAUUUGUGCUUAAAAGUUGAAGAAAGUCGAAAAUCUUGCUGUCUGACUGAUGGACUCGGCGAGUCCAUGGGGAGGACUCGUCGAGUUCAUGUGUAUCUUCAACCUACUCGGCGAGUAGGUUUAUGCACUCGGCGAGUAGGGUCGACAGAGUGCAGAUUUUCGACUUGAGUUGCUGGAAAUGGAUUAGAAACAUUACCCUAAACUGUUUUGGUACUUGAAAACUUGUUUUAGAUGGUGUAAUGUUCAUGGUAAUCCAUUUACAACAACAAGAUAUUAAAAUUACAAAGUUUUUAGUGUAGUUUUGAUUCAUGAAAGUGUUCAUGUUCAUGUUCUUGAUCUUAUGAUGUUUAGAUGAUCAUAGGAAUUAUUUGUAACCUAUGUGGUAGUUUAAUUCUUGAUCAUAAUGUGUUUUAAUGGAGUCCAUAACUUGUCCUCAAGUUAUGGAAAACCAAAAGUCUCUUGGAUUAAAAACCAUUAAAAGAACACAAGAGUUAGGAAAAAUGAAAAGUCCUCAUUUUAUUACUCUAUUAAACUCAUAAGUUACAAGAAAUGAAAAGUUUUGAAAGUUUACAAAACUUGCCCUCAAGUUUUGGAACAAGUAAAGUUAAGUUAAAACUUUAGUUCCAACCCCUAGAAUUUUAAAAGUUAAAAUUCAACCCUUAUACUUAUAUUAUUAUGAUUUAAUAAUUAUAUAUAUAUGUAUAAGAACAAAGUCGUCUUACCGCUAGUACGCCUCAUUCACGAAGCCGGUCUAUAAGGUGGGUAUAAGGUUGUUGCCUAUAAAAUGGUGACUUAAUGGGUGUCCACUCUCACCCACCGCUUGCUUGAUCGGUGGAGGGUCGUUAGCCGAACGGGUAAGACAAGGACUUAUUAAUUCUCAUUCAAAGUAUGAUGAAUAUUAUAAAGUAACUAAAUGUUUUAUUAAAUUCCCAAUCUUAGUUACUUUAGGAAAAAUGUGAAUAAGGUGCUAUUCCAUGAAAUUACACUUUACACUUUGAUUAAGUCGUUGGUGGAGCGUGUGUGGUUAACCGGCACACUAACUUGGACUUAACAAGGUAGGUAAAGGGUGACUUAGGGUUUAUUAUAGUAUCGAUGGAGCGUGUGUGGUUAACCGGCACAUCGAUUGAGUGAUAAACUUUAAGGGUACCAAGUGAUUUGCAUGGUUACUUCACACCUCGUUUUGUGAUCCUCGGUAUCCCAGUCACAAAACUUGGAGGGCACACUCGAGAUUGAAACAUGCCUUUGAAAAGUUCAUUGAAUCUCAAAGAAUCUAGGAAUUUCUAAGAACCAUUCAAAAACCUAAUACUAAAAUAUUGCGGUUUUCGUGGUGGAAAUUGGUGAAUCGUCAUUCACCUACCUUUCAAAUAUGAUAUAGCUUAGAUUACGGCAUACCUCUUCUAAGUUAUAUUAUAUUGUGAUUGGAUCCUAGCCUUAAUAUUACAUUUGGGUGUUUUAUUAAGGACUCUCUUAUAUCUAAACUAAUCUUGUCCUCUUUCCUUCAGAUGUCUUUCAACAAUGCUUCUGGCUCUAAUCCUAAUGGCUCCUUUACCCUUAUGAACUUGUGUGGGAAAGUCACCUUUGAUGGAUCCAACUUCAAUGAGUGGAUCAGAAACAUCAGGAUGAUUACCCGCUACGAGGACAAAGAAUAUGUCCUUGACAAGGAGCUUAAGGAGAUUGAUGAGUCCACUGCAACUCCUCAGGAGAUCGCUGAAUUUCGGGCACAUGAAAGGGAUGCUACGAAAGUGGCUUGCAUCAUGAUGGCCACGAUGACAGCGGAACUCCAAAAGUCUUAUGAGGAUUUCUACCCUUAUGACAUGCACCAAGAUUUGAUGGAAAGAUACCAUCAAAGUGCAAGACAAGAGAGGUAUGAAAUCAUCUGCUCCAUGAUAACAACCAUGAUGAAGGACGGGGAAUCCGUCACGAGCCACAUGCAGAAAAUGCAAAGGUAUGUGGAUCGUUUGCUGAAGCUUAAUGUGAACUUCCCGGAGGAUCUUGCAAUAGAUAUUAUUUUGCAUUCCUUACCAUCGUGCUAUGAUCAAUUCCGCAUGACAUAUCACAUGAACAAGGAAGAAGUCACCCUCAGCAAACUUCAGGGACUUCUCAAGACCGCAGAAACAGGUCUUAAGGGGAAGUCGGUUGCUAUCACUCCUACUCAAAACUCUACUCCGGUUUUGGCAAUCGGGAAAAGUCGAGGGAGGAAGAGAAAGAGCUCUUCUAAGGGUACCAAGGCUCGGACCCUUGAUGGCUCUUCUUCAAGUGGAACCAAGAAAGGUUUCGUUACUCCUUCUUCUGACCCAAAAGAGGCUGAAUGCUUCUAUUGCCAUGAAAAAGCUCAUUGGAAGCGGAACUGCCCAAAAUACCAGCAAGAUGUGAAGGAUGGGAAAGUUAAACCCAACCAUGCAGGUAUUUACACUAUCAUUUCUAAUAACUCACCCCAUUCUAAUUCUUGGGUCCUUGAUACCGGGUGUGGUAUUCACAUUUGUUGUGACUUGCAGGGACUAAGAAGAAGUGAGGAUGUGGAGCAAGGAAGGAUAAACUUGAUCAUGGGGAAUAGGAAAGCUAUACCUGUUACCAAGAUUGGAGUUUAUACUUUAUCGCUAAGUAGUGGGUUUAGUUUAGAUUUGAAUAAGUGUUGUUAUUCGCCAGGAAUGGCAAGAAAUAUUAUUUCCUUUCAUGCUUUGUACAAACAAGGGUUUACCUUUUCAUUUAAUAAUGAAGUUGGUUCUAUAGAUGUUUUCUAUAAUAAUGUCUUUUAUUUUAAAGCAUUACCUUGUGAUGGUGUGUAUGAAGCUGUAUCUGUUGUAGAUAACUUGGGAAAUAAUGUUUUGUGUAUUGAUUCUACUAAUAAUAACUUGGAUAAAGCAUCUUUAUGGCAUUGUCGUCUUGGACAUAUAAGCAAGAAACGCAUAGGCCAACUCCAAAAGGAUGGAGUCUUGGAGUCGUUUGACCUAAAGUCAGAUGAUAGUUGCGAAUCAUGCUUACUUGGAAAAAUGACAAAGUCACCCUUCACAGGUUCGUGUGAGAGGGGUGAAGGUUUGUUGGACCUUAUACACACGGAUGUGUGUGGACCAUUCAAACAUGCCACAAGGGAUGCUAAUCGUUAUUAUUUGACUUUUACUGAUGAUUAUAGUAGAUAUGGAUAUGUCUACUUGAUCAAGCAUAAGUCAGAGACUUUCGAGAGGUUUAAGGAAUUUAAACAGGAAGUCGAGAAUCAAUUGGGCAGGAACAUUAAGAUGCUUCGAUCCGAUCGUGGUGGUGAGUAUCUUAGUUCAGAGUUCCUCGACUAUCUAAGGGAAUGUGGGAUAGUCUCACAAUUGACACCUCCCAGGACACCACAGUUGAAUGGUGUGGCUGAGAGGCGUAAUCGAACCUUGUUAGAUAUGGUUCGUUCCAUGAUGAGUCGAGCUACGCUACCAAUCUCAUUCUGGGGGUAUGCCUUAGAGACUGCCGCCCAUAUUCUUAAUCUAGUCCCUACAAAGAAAGUUGCCAAAACUCCUCACGAGAUGUGGACUGGUAAAGUACCUAAACUAGACCACAUCAAGAUUUGGGGUUGCGAGGCUUUCGUGAGACGCGAGACUCAUGAUAAGCUCGAACCUCGAAGCGAGAGGUGUAUUUUCAUCGGUUACCCACAGCGAUCCUUUGGUUACCUCUUCUACAGACCUAGUGACAAUGUGGUCUUUGUAGCAAGAAGAGGAGUCUUUCGAGAAAGAGAGUUUAUAAGCCAAGGAGACAGUGGGAGGCAAAUUGAUCUUGAAGAAAUUCAAGAAUCAAGCGGUGAAGGAACUUCAAACUCUAGCCCUCAACUUGAGGAGGAAACUCCUGUUGAGCCAAUUGACAAAUCUGUACCUCUGAGACGUUCCACGAGAGUUAGGAGUGCACCUGAGCAUUACUAUGGAUUCCAUAUUACUGCAGAAGGUGAGACACUUAUUAGUGAUGAGACACUAGUAAGUCAAGAUGACCCUAACAGCUACGAGGAAGCCAUGGCAGGCCCCGAGUCUGCUAAAUGGAAAGAGGCUAUGGAUAGCGAGAUACAAUCCAUGUAUGACAAUCAAGUUUGGAACUUGGUUGAAAAUGUACCAGGUCGUAAGACAGUAGGGUGCAAAUGGGUCUUCAAGAAGAAGACCGACAUGGAUGGUAAAGUACACACUUAUAAGGCUAGACUGGUUGCAAAGGGCUUCUCUCAAAUUCCUGGAGUGGAUUAUGAUGAGACCUUUUCUCCGGUAGCCAAGAUUAAGUCUAUUCGGGUUCUGUUAGCCAUAGCUGCAUUUCAUGACUAUGAAAUAUGGCAGAUGGAUGUCAAAACCGCUUUCCUUAAUGGAAAGUUGGCUGAAGAUGUUUACAUGAGUCAGCCAGAGGGUUUUGUCAGCAACGAGUACCCUAAUAGAGUGUGUAAGCUUGAGAAAUCCAUUUAUGGAUUGAAGCAAGCACCUCGCAGAUGGAAUCUUUGCUUUGAUGAAAAGGUCAAGGAAUUUGGCUUUUCUAGGAGUGAAGAUGAAUCUUGUGUGUAUGUCAAGGCUAGUGGGAGUAUAGUUAGCUUUUUGGUAUUGUAUGUGGAUGACAUACUACUCAUAGGAAACGACAUUCCAACCCUGCAGGAAGUAAAGUCCUGGCUUGGGAAGUGUUUCGCUAUGAAGGACCUUGGUGAAGCUGCCUAUAUUCUAGGGAUAAGAAUCUUGAGAGAUCGGAGUAAAAGACUAAUUGGACUUAGUCAGAGUACCUACUUGGAUAAGGUGCUGAAGAGAUUCAGCAUGCAGGAUUCCAAGAAAGGAGAGUUACCCAUCCAGAGUAACACCAGAUUGAGUAAGACACAAAGCCCUAGCACUGAGGCUGAGAUAGCAGAAAUGAGUCGAACACCUUACGCUUCGGCUGUAGGAUCGAUCAUGUAUGCUAUGACGUGUACUCGACCCGAUGUAGCUUUUGCCUUGAGCAUGGUUAGCAGGUAUCAGGCGAACCCUGGCAAGGCACACUGGACUGCGGUAAAGAAUAUCCUCAAGUACCUACGGAGGACUAAGGACUGGGUCCUUACCCUCGGUGGGAGUGAUGACUUGAGAGUUGUAGGGUAUAGUGAUGCUAGCUUCCAGACUGAUAGGGAUAAUUUCCGCUCUCAGUCGGGCUGGGUCUUUACCCUAAACGGAGGAGCAAUUUCUUGGAAGAGUUCCAAGCAAGAGACAGUGGCAGAUUCUACUUGUGAAUCAGAGUAUAUUGCAGCUAGUGAAGCAGCAAAGGAGGCGAUAUGGCUGAAGAACUUCAUUGGAGACCUUGGAGUUGUACCAGCUAUUAAAGAGCCAAUGGAAAUUUUCUGUGAUAGUGAAAGUGCUGUUGCCUUAGCCAAGGAACCAAGGGAUCACGGGAGAUCCAGACACAUCGACAGAAAAUACCAUUUCAUCAGACAUCGGAUCGAAGAAGGACUCCUCGUGGCAAAGAGGGUAUCAUCGGAUGAGAACCCAGCAGAUCCCCUCACGAAGGGACUGAGUAGGGUUAAGCAUCUCCAGCAUGCUCGGAGCAUAGGGCUGAAGGAUGAUAUAAGUUUUAGUAGUUAGAUAACCCAGAAAUUUGUAAAGUGUAAUUGACAUUUGAUGAUGAAUAAAAGGUGUUUUAUUUAUGAGUAAAGUGUUGCUAUCUCUUGUCGAUCGUUUACUAUAUUUCUUUUGCAUGUUUUGACUUCCAGAAUAAUUAUGUUUGGUAUAUCAUAUUAUUCAAACCUCCACAGUCGGUCAUAUGUCGGAAGUAGGUAUGAAUCAAGACUGUCAUGAUUGGUUGCAGAGGUCUAAGGUGUUGGACAAGGCUACAACAAUCAUGAGUGCUCAUAAGUUCUGAGCAUUGGACUCAACCCACGCUCACUGGAAUCACUUCAUGGAAUUUUAUCUCGAGUGAUCGUGAGACGGUAAUAUCAUAUAAGUCUUCAAACCUAGAGAUAUGAUUUGUUACUUACGAGUUGGUUAUGCAUUGAUUGUACGAAAACGCAUUGGUAACUCGAUGUUAUAAAACGUGCUUUUGUGUGUAAUUCAAUGAGUGGUAGAACAAACAUAUGAGUCGAAGUUUAUCUGUUCCUUCUUGGAUUAGAAGCUGAUAUCUGGGCCCCUCGAUGAUUUUGUUUUGACCUAUGUACCGGGCCCGGUCAGAACUAAAUUGAUGUGUUCAGUUAAGUUCUAUGUCAAACAAAUCGGAAAUCGGGAAACAAAUGCUGGACAAUAAGUAAGACCAUGUUCCAUGUAUUUGUCCGGCUGAUAUCUAGAACAGAGGAUUAUAUGAUCACUUAUCUAAAAUGGCGCGUUCUAGUUCAACAGAGUUUAAAGAGCUACGAUUGCUGAUCGGUUCCUGAAGUCAUACUUGCAACUAUAGUUAUUAGACUUAUCCAAGUGGGAGACUGUUGGAUAUAGUGUCUAAGUCCAUAACUAUAUUUGGUAUGUACUUGACCCGACCCGGCAUGGUCCAUUUGGGUUGCACUUCACCCGAACAAUUUAUGGAUAAUAUUUGAGAAUAGUACAAGUUAUGAUUUAUUAAUAUAUUAUAAGUUCUAAUAUAUUAAUAUAAGAUCAUAUUAUUUAAUUAGUAUUGAUCUAUAAUUAAUCUAGGAUUAAUUUAGAGAUCAAAGAUAUUACUAAUUAAAUAUGGGCUUCUAUAUUUAUAUAGUGUGGGCUAAUGCUUAUUUGGAAUGGGCUAGGCUUGCAUAGAAAAGUCCAUGGAUACUCCAUGGAGCUUUAACCCAUGGAUCUCAUGGAAAUGAAGAGACAUGGGUAUUAGGGUUUACAUGGAUGUAACCCUAAUCCAUCACACUAUAUAAAGGAGGCUUUGGUUCUUGAAAUCACACUAGUUGACACUUGUUGAGGUGAGGGCCGAUUUCAAGAUAGUAGUGACUAUUCUCUCAAAGUUCCAAGUUUGUGGUGAUUUGUGAUUUCCAUUUGAGGCAUCCACACUAUUGGUGCUAGGCUCUAAAACUCCAAGGAAUCAACUACAACUACAAGGUAAGUGUUUCUACUAGCUUUAUUUGAUUCAAGUUCCCCAUACCAUGCUAGUUAGGAUAUGAACCUUGGAAAAAUGAUUAUUUGCAUGCAUCUUAGACAAACAUAGAUACAAGGUUUAUUAGGGUUGCAUGUCCACUUAGGAUGUGUUAGAAUGCUCAAAACCCAUUAAUUAUACCCAGUCACCACGGAACACCAUUACAGAACAUCGUGAUGUCUUGCCUUAACCACUGAUCUCCUACUCCCAACACCGUACAGAUACGACAAUACAUUUCCUCUGAACUCCAUAAAUAAUUCCUCAUUUUACCCAAUGCGCAACUUUAGUGUAUUCAAACACUCAAUUGGAAUACAAAGAAGGCGCUAACGCUUCAGAACACGCGGAUGAUCCUCCGAAACCCUUUCCCCUACUGCUCAAAAUCCAAGCAAGAAUACACAUACCGGCCCGGGAGUUGGCUGUUUGAUAAUAUUCUAUCCACCCUAAAAAGGUCAUAAAUAAUCCAUACUUCGACCCAGAAGUUCUCAACUGCCCAUACCAUCGUUACGAGUCUUCCCUUUGAAACAACCCUGGCCACCACCGGCUUCCUGACCAAUGGCGAACUGCCGAGGAGACACCCAUCCUUUCUCAGACACAUACGACAUGUAUUAUCUUGCUCUGCACCUUUCUUUGAUCACCAAUGACCCUGGACUCAUGAAUUCGAGCCGCAGGUUUCUGUAUCCAACCCCUAACUGCUCUUCCACAAAUCUCUGGUUCCCUCAAUAAAAUACCCGGUUCUCCCCCACUUAGGGUUCGAACCAUCACCAAUUGCCGCACACACCAUCCCACAGACUGUUUCCACUAGCAAUAUUGCACCUGCCCUUGGAAGGUGCUACGCAACGCCCGAUAACCUCCUUUAAAGAGAUCAAGCAACCUCAAAUACCCUGAAUCUCAGAAUAAAUUCUUAGGAGCUUCUCAUCACGACUGACUCUAGUCGUUCAAAGUCUCAUACCAUCCCAAUACCGAACAUCUCAACUGUCCAGUAGAAUCACUAACUCUUAGACUGAACAAUAAAUCAUCGUACUCCUCAACCUCGACUUCUCAAACCCAAGUUCCAACACCUGAAUCAUUAAAAGAACAUGGACUCCACUCCCAUACUCAAUAUCCAUCAUAGACAGAAGAGUCGUCGCCCUGAUAUACUCAACGGGAUUACCCGCUGAUAUCGCCACCCCACGCCCUACUAUACUCAAUUAGGGUGUAAUGUCGUCCUUGACCAUCUCAGUCCCCACUGACUACCUGCUCAUGGUAGAUCAUUUCCAUGCGGCGGACAUGCUGCCUGAUACUUUGGUGGAAAAAAUCGACAUCAAUGCCAACCCACAGGGUUUUAUUCCUAUACCCCAAAACCGAAACCUCACGUUCCUAUUUCCCAAAGAAACAUAAAUAGCACCCAUCAGGUCACAGAAGGCGACAUCUACCCCAUUGACUGAUCGCUCACUCAGGCCGCAAUCCCCCAUAAAUGCCUUCUCUACAAAUCCCUGAGUCAUGCGACUACAUCUGACAUCUUACCAAUAAUACUCUGAAAUGCUCCGACCUCCCUCUCAAGGGAUGCCUCUACGGACUCAAUCAUGGCCCUCAGGCCUAAAACCCCAUCUCGUCCAAACUCCACCAAUCAAUCCUGACCCAACAACCAGAGAAUCACAGGCAUCAAUUGCUAAGAACCAUGGUACUCAGUCCCUGACAUCUCUUCUCAAUCUGCUACAAUGUAUGGUACUCGAACCAUGACAUCACUCCUCAAUAUGCUACUUAGAACCUUUAGAAUACUCCCUGUAUUGAGUAUGGGUCCUCAGCUUUCGGUAGUACGGGCCCAUACUACCUGACACAUCUACCCAUACUUUCCACACGGACCAUCCCAGAGCUCCUAAGUAGCUGCUCAACCUUCUCGUUCACCAAUUCCGCUAUGCGUGCCCGCUCCUCAGCGAAAUGCUCUACUCCACCAGCGUACUCAUCUAGCUAAGGUCACUCCCACUUCUCCGCCAUCAGCUGCUGAACAGCUCCUAAUGAUGCCAGUCAUCUACCUCUUGAAUAUCGUCAUAUUCACUUGGUAGACGACUCCCAUCAUCGAGAGUUCCACAAAGCACGAAGCAAGCAACAUUCGGGCAUCGGAGAAUACAUAGAGCUCACUCUGGAUGAUAACUCCGCUUGCUCUGCUCUUUCUCAAGGUACCACCAAACUCUGCAACUCUGCCCCUUUCGGGUUUUAACUACUCUUCGAUAAACACCACAAUACUCAUCUGGGCGUCUCUCCUAGAUUACUCCUCUACUCAAAUCCCCUAAAAGGAUUUCAUCUGAAUAGUCUCACUCAUACUCAAAAGCACAUCACAUAUAACAGCAACUCCUAGACUAAGGCAUCACAAAUCAGGCCACUCUAGUCCUAAGAUAUGAAAUACCUAGCUUGUCUCUAGCAUGCAUAAUAUCUUAUAAAAUGUAUCAUAAAUAUCUCAUAACACAAAAGUAAGGGUAUUUUGGGAAAUCACCAUUCGGGCUCCGGCUGAUUGUACACACUGCUCUUUCUUGCUUCCUCUUUGAACUCUUAUUCACUUUUAGAAAAUCAUUUCUUUUGAAAAAUUUUUGUACUUCCUCAGCUUGAGUCCAGAUUUACCUGAAGGUGCAUCCGAAUCCCUCAAACCAAGGCUAUGAUACCAACUUGUAACACCGUAAUUUUUCAAACAAAAUUUUGAAAAUUAAAAUAGUUUAUCUCUUUAACACUUUUCAUAAAAAUCCCAUUUGUUUAAGUUACAACACAUAACUCUUUUGUUCAAUCAAUUAGUAAACCAGGAUCCUCAAACAAACGCUUCCCCCGGUGUGUACAAUCGAGCCGGUGUCGUCCCAUGAACCUGAGAAACCUGAAACACAUAACACAAGACACUGUAAGCACAAAGCUUAGUGAGUUCCCCAAAAUACCACUCUAACACAUAUUAGCCACUCAAGGCUAUAACUCUGUUGACCCUCUGGUCAGUGUGUCUCAGUGGGACCCUCCAGUCCCAACUCUCUGUGGACCCUCUAGCCCUAACUCUAUGGUCCCAAAGGUCCUAACUCUAAUAACUCUAAAUCAUGCAUAUCACAUAUCACAAUAAAUCUCAUAAAAUAAAUAGCAUACAAAUACACUGGCACAUAACUCUAAACCUAACUUUGUGGACCCUCUGGUCCUAGCUCUGUGGACCUUGCGGUCCUAACUCUGAUAUACACACAGCAUAAAUCACAUAGAAAUAAUGCAGUGCCACACAUCACAUAGAUAGCAUACAAUAACUCUGUCACAUAACUCUAUUACCACUCUAGGUAAAGUAUAGUGAGAAGACUCACCUGCUACUGCCGACUGAAAAGCAAGAUCACGCUGCUCCGACCACUGUCACGAACUCCACCACUGAAUCACCGAAACCAAUAAAUACCAAUGACAACCAAAAUACCCCUGGAAGUCAACUGGUCAACUCUUGGUCAAAGUCAAAGUCCUCAAUCAAAGCCAACCCUCCUGACUGACUCUACUCGCCGAGUCAACCCGUUGGCUCGUCGAGUCCCCAUGCUCUGAAACUCCCAUAACACGACUCAACUCGCCGAGUCGUCCCACGACUCGCCGAGUCCCACACCCUUGAGUCAAACCGUACUCAACUCAUUGAGUCAUCCCUUGACUCACUGAUUCUCAGCUUAACCAGAAAAGGUUAGGACCUCAAGACCAGACUCGCCGAGUCCAAGAACAGACUCACCGAGUCCAAGGCUAUCUUCAACCAACUCGCCGAGUUGUUCUUCCAAUUCGCCGAGUUUCUGCCUAUCUUCAUGCAACUCACCGAGUACACCCAUGUGACUCGCCGAGUACCUCCAUCUCUUAAUCCAUUUAGUGGCUUUCCAAGCCAUGCAGGGGCUCCAAUCCAUAGAUCUAUCCUUCCACAAGCUAUUCCUCACGUAAAGUUGCAAGCUUUACGUGAAUCCAAAGAGAUCUAAGCAUAAAACACUCUUGGGCUAGGAUUUGGGACAAGAAGGCUUCACUAACAACUCUUGGGCAUGAACUUUAUGGCUUCCUGGACCACUACAAUCCUAGAUCUGUGGUAGCAACCUCAGAUCUUACACCAAACUCGAGAUGGACCUCAUUUAUGCUCCAAAAACCCCACAAUUGAUAAAUCUAGAUGCACAAAAGCUCAAGAACAGAUCUCUUACCUCCAAUGGAAGCUCCUACAAGAGAAUGAACCAAAUCUAUGCAAAGCCCCUUGCGCCAAAUAUUCUUGCUCUUCAAUUCCCCUCCAAGAUUUCCUCCUCCAAGGCUCUAAUUACUCACAAAGGAAAGCUCACACGAAUCUAGGGCCUCUGGAACUCAAAGGGAAGGUAAAGAGGCUGGGGAGUGGGUAUUAUGUUCUUUAUAUAGGGCUCAACCCCCGGGAUUAGGGUUUUCUCCAUACAGCACCAACUCGCAGUGUCCACCCAUGCGACUCGCCGAGUUGGUCACUUAUCACGCGACUCGACUCGCCGAGUCUAUCCAUAGACUCACCGAGUCGACCUUCUUAUUUACACUUUUAGCCCUUCAACUUUACUUCUGAAAUUCCAGGAUGUUACAUGGAGUUAGGAGCAGUAGUCUUUGCACUGAAGAUUUGGAGACAUUAUCUCUACGGAACUAAGUGCACGAUCUUCACUGACCAUAAAAGCCUGCAGCACAUAUUUGAUCAGAAGGACUUGAACAUGAGACAACGACGAUGGGUAGAGUUGCUCAGUGCCUAUGAGUGCGAAAUCCGCUACCAUCCCGGCAAGGCCAAUGUGGUGGCAGAUGCACUUAGCCAAAAGGAGAGUUCAAGUCGCAAAGUGAAGACGCUGACAAUGACCAUCCAUUCCCACUUAUCCAUGCAAAUACGAGAAGCUCAAUUGGAAGACCUAAAACCAGAGAACGUACCGAACGAAGCCUUGAGGGGAAUGGAUAAGAAUCUUGAGAUCAGAGGUGACGGAGUCUAUUGUUUCAUGGACCAGAUCUGGACCCCAAAAUUCGGAGGUUUCAGGGAGGUUGUCAUGAACGAAGCCCACAAAACCAGAUACACUGUGCACCCGGGCUCGGAUAAGAUGUACUUGGAUCUCAAGAAGUUGUACUGGUGGCCAAACAUGAAAGCCGAAAUCGCUGCCUUCAUGGGCAAGUGCCUGACUUGCGCCAAGGUAAAGGUUGAAUAUCAUAAACCCACAGGUUUACUAAAGCAGCCCAAGAUACCUGAGUUGAAAUGGGAGAUGAUUUCUAUGGAUUUCAUUACCAAAUUACCUAAAUCUCCGAGUGGGUAUGACACCAUUUGGUUAAUUGUCGAUCGAUUGACAAAAUCCGCUCACUUCCUGCCGAUAAAAGAAACAUUCAAAAUGGAAAGACUCACGCGAAUCUACAUCCAAGAGAUAGUCCGAUUGCAUGGUGUACCAGUGUCCAUCAUCUCCGACCGAGAUAGCAGGUUUACCUCGAGAUUUUGGCAGUCCCUACAGAAAGCUCUUGGAACUAAACUAGACAUCAGCACAACUUAUCACCCUCAGACAGACGGACAAAGUGAGAGAACUAUCCAGACCAUGGAAGAUACGUUGAGAGCAUGUGUGUAACAGCCCGGAACCCCAUGUGUUAUUUAUUCAUAUAUUUUUGGUGUUUUGUGAGGGGACUCGACAAGUUGGAGCUCAAACUCACCGAGUAGGAUCGCGGUUUCGGACGCGGGUUCGCGCCUGGACUCGGCGAGUCCACGCUGUUUAAUGAAACCCUAAUUUCCCAGUCCUGAGCCCUAUUUAAGGGACCUUAUGGUCUUCAUUGCAGCUACCUUCGACCUUAGGAGCACCAGAGCAGCUGAGAGUUCUUGUGAGUGAGAUAAGAGGCCAUUAUUCACCAUUUUUGUGUGUAUUUGCAAGAAGGGAAGAGGAAAGCCAAGCUAAGGGAGUUGGGGAGCUUAGAUCUAUUCCCAUUUCAACAGAGGAAGCUAAUUGAGGUAACAUUCAGAGCUUAUUCUCGUGUUUUUCUUGAUAUGGCCAAAUCUAGGGUUUCUUCAUGCCUUGUUUGCAUUGUAUUUGGAGUAUGAGAGGUUCCAUGGGGAAAUGGUGCCUAGAUCUGGACNAGAGAGAGAGAGUUAUAGUAUUCACCAGUCAGAGGGUGUUGUGAUGCUACGGGGAGCCGUAGUAUUUGCUAGUCAAAGGGUGUUGUGAUGCUACGGGGAGCCGUUGUACUCACAAGUCAGAGGGAAGGAGUCGUGGUGCUACGGGGAGCCGUAGUACUCGCUAGUUAGUUGGCGUUGUGAUGCUACGGGGAACCGUAGUACUCACAAGUCAGAGGGAAGGAGUCGUGGUGCUACAGGGAGCUGUAGUACUCACUAGUUAGUUGGCAUUGUGAUGCUACAGGGAGCCGUAGUACUCACAAGUCAGAGGGAAGGAGUCAUGGUGCUACGGUGAGGCGUAGUACCCACUAGUUAGUUGGCGUUGUGAUACUACGGGGAGCCGUAGUACUCACUUGUCAGAGGCUGGCGUAAUGUUGUGGGAAGCCAUAGUACCCACUAGACGGCAAGAGAGUGGGAUGAUGGAGUGUUCUCCGAUAAGUGCAUGAUGCAGAAGAGUUUGGGGCUUGAGUAGCCCUAGUGUUGAAUUUUUGGAGCCUAGUGGUUAAACCAGGGCGAGACUGGGGUCUCCGUGUCUUUCGGGAGGGUCAUCGAGGCGUGCGGGAGAAUAUGCGCAGCAAACGCCAGAGGUUAGAGCCGAGUCGAUCUUCGAUUGGAUUGUAUUUUUAUGAGGAAAAGGGAAUUUCGUGACUUGCAUGUCACUGGGCCGUGAUAGUGGUCACGGGGAAGAAGUUAGUGAGAUGUUUUGGAUCAUGUUAUGUGUCACCUCUGGGGGUUCAGCUAAAGGGCCAAAAGCUGACCUGGUGCUUGGUAUCGAGGAUGAAUGCGAGAAAUGAGAUAGAGUUUACCAUGGUGAUGUCUGCAGACACUUCAGAGCCAGCGAAUGAUUCGGAUGCUCGAGGAUAUGUUUCAGGCUUGUGUAUUAGAUUUCGGGGGGGAAUCGUGGCCCGUAUUUGCCCUUGGCAGAGUUUUCCUACAACAACAGCCAUCAUUAGUGCAUCAGUAUGCCACCCUUUGAGCUGUUGUAGGGAAGGGAGUAUCGGACCCCAUUUGCGGGGAAGAGGUAGAGCAACGUGUGAUGGGAAGUACAGAGAUCGUGCUUUGGACAUCAGAGCAGAUACAGCAGGUCAGGCAGAGGUUAUUGACCGCUCAGAGUCGCCAGAAGAGUUAUGCGGACAGGUGCCGGUCCGAGCUCGAAUUGUUGGUCGGUGACUUUGUACUCCUGAAGGUCUCUCCUUGGAAAGGAGUGAUUCGAUUCAGGAAGAGGGGCAAGUUGGGGCCCCGAUAUAUUGGUCCUUUCCGAGUGAUCGCGAGGGUAGGCUGGAUAGCCUAUCGUUUGGAUUUGCCAGCAGAGUUGGGGCAGAUUCACGACACUUUUCAUGUGUCGCAUCUAAGGAAACGUUUAGCCGAUGAGUCGGCAGUGGUUCCAAUAGAGGAUAUUCAGGUGGAUGCGAGCCUGAAUUGUGCUAAGAGACCAGUGGAGAUCGGAGAUCGGAAAAUCAAGGUUCUGAGGAACAAGGAGGUACCCUUGGUUUUGGUUCGGUGGCAGCAUUGUAAGGGAUCCGAGAUGACCUGGGAGCCGGAGCGUGAGAUGCGUGGGCAGCAUCCGGAGUUAUUUGCAGAGCGAGACUUCGAGGGCGAAGUCUAGUUCUAGUGGGGGAGAAUUGUAACAGCCCGGAACCCCAGGUGUUAUUUAUUCAUAUAUUUUUGGUGUUUUGUGAGGGGACUCGGCGAGUUGGAGCUCAAACUCGCCGAGUAGGAUCGCGAUUUUGGACGCGGGUUCGCGCCGGGACUCGGCGAGUCCAAGGAAUGGACUCGGCGAGUCCACGCUGUUUAAUGAAACCCUAAUUUCCCGAUCCUGAGCCCUAUUUAAGGGACCUUAUGGCCUUCAUUGCAGGUACCUUCGACCUUGGGAGCACCAGAGCAGCUGAGAGUUCUUGUGAGUGAGAUAAGAGGCCAUUAUUCACCAUUUUUGUGUGUAUUUGCAAGAAGGGAAGAGGAAAGCCAAGCUAAGGGAGUUGGGGAGCUUAGAUCUACUCCCAUUUCGACAGAGGAAGCUAAUUGAGGUAACAUUCAGAGCUUAUUCUCGUGUUUUUCUUGAUAUGGCCAAAUCUAGGGUUUCUUCAUGCCUUGUUUGCCUUGUAUUUGGAGUAUGAGAGGUUCCAUGGGGAAAUGGUACCUAGAUCUGGACCUUAGUAGGUCCAGAGAGUCCCAAAUGCAAUUCUUUAUGCCUUUCCUUUUGAGUUGGAGACUUAGGUUUCCAUUUUAGAUGUCAUUUCAUCAAAAGAAGCCUUGUAGGCAUUGCUUGGUAUCCAAGAUUGAGACUUUACGUGAUGAAUGUGCUUGGGAGGGCUAGAUCUAUGAGUUCUUGGAGCGGAUCUGACCUUAGAAGCGAGAUUAAGUCGAUGCAUGGCAUGGACUCGCCGAGUCCGAAGAACAGACUCGGCGAGUAGCAUGAAGAUUGUCCUAACCACUCAGCGAGUCGUCUUGCCGAGUUAUGGGAUGACUCAGUGAGUCAGGCAGAAUUAGGGAGGGUUGAAAGGUGGACUGAGUCAAGCUGGAACUCGCCGAGUUGUUCUUGAGACUCGGCGAGUUGAGUUGUGGUGGCCCCACGAUUAUGCCAGGUGAAACUCGUCGAUUUAGAGAAAUACUCUACGUGUCAAGAGAGGAUCCAAGGGAGUCAGUGGACACGUGUAGAAUCGCCGAGUCACCCUAGUGUACUCGCCGAGUCCGGUUAAAGUUGACCGUUGACUUUUGUUGACUUUUAGGGUUUGGUUAGCGAUGUGGCCUUUGGGCCAAGAUAGGGGUAAAAUGGCCUUGUACCCUUAAGAGGGUGUCAAGAGAGGGUUGAUCCUAGACUCGAGAGUUAUAUUCAAGAGAGUAUUUGCCUUAUGUGUUAGGCGGUGUCAAGUUCGAGAUUCAAGUGUGGGGAUAUCUGCUUUCUGCUUGCCAGGUGAGUCUUCUCACUAUACUUUACCUUGAGUAGGUAACCAGAGUUAUGUGACAGAGUAUUUGUAUGCUAUGUGUUGUACUGCAUUAUUUCUAUGCGAUUUAUGCUGUGCAUGUUUACAGAGUUAGAACCGGAAGGUUCCCAGAGUUAGAACCGGAAGGUUCACAGAGUUAGAACCAGAGGGUUCAUAGAGUAGGGUCCAUGGACCCAUAGAGUUAUAGCCUCGAGUAGCUAAUAUGUGUANGGUAUUUUGGGGAACUCACUAAGCUUCGUGCUUACAGUGUUUUGUGUUAUGUGUUUCAGGUUUCUCUCAGGAUCACGGGACGGCACCAGCUCGAUUGUACACACCAGAGAAAGAGUCAUGUUUUGAGGAUCCUGAUUUAUUAUGCAAGUGAAAAUGGAGUUAUGUUUUGUAAUUCGAUUAUGAAUGAGACUUUCAGCAAAGUGUUUUUUUAGAAUUAAACGAUUAUUUUAAAAUGAAAAAUUGUUUUGAAAAUUUCGGUGUUACAAUGUGUCAUCGAUUUCGGAAAAUCGUGGGACACUCAUUUACCUUUAAUCGCGUUCUCGUAUAACAACAGCUACCACACCAGUUUCAAGGCUGCCCCAUUUGAAUCCCUCUAUGGUCGAAAGUGCAGAUCCCCUCUGUGCUGGGCCAAGGUAGGAGACACGCAGCUAGCUAAGACUCGAGUCCCCGACAGUGCUCUCACUGGUCCAGAAAUUAUCUGCGAAACCACUGAGAAGAUCAUCCAAAUCCGAGACCGAUUGAAAGCCUUUAGGGACAGGCAGAAGAGCUACACCGGUAAGCGACGAAAACCAUUAGAAUUCCAGGUUGGAGAUCGUGUCUUGUUGAAGGUCUCGCCCUGGAAAGGCAUGGUACGUUUUGGAAAGCGCGAAAAACUUAAUCCGAGGUACAUAGGACCUUUCGAGAUCCUCGCUAGGAUCGGUCCUGUAGCCUAUAAACUCCGAUUACCUCAAGAGCUUAGCAAGAUCCAUCCCGUAUUCCACGUCUCUAAUCUUAAGAAGUGCCUAUCCGAUGAAACCCUCGUGAUCCCUCUUGACGAGAUCGAAAUCAAUGAAAACCUGAACUUCGUAGAAGAACCAAUCGAAAUCAUCGAUCGGGAGAUCAAGCGUUCAAAACAAAGCCGCAUCCCGAUAGUGAAAGUUCGCUGGAAUGCCAAGCGAGGUCCAGAAUUCACUUGGGAGCGCGAAGACUCAAUGAGACAGAAGUACCCCCACCUUUUCAAAAAUCCAUGAUUGUAUUCGUAUUCCUGAAUUUCGGGACGAUAUUCCUUCUAACGGGGGAUAAUGUGACAACCUGAAACUUCUAUCCUAUGUAAUUGAUCCGUGUAUCAGCAUUAAAACUUGAAUUCAUCAUCUGUUAUCGAAUCUUGUGGUUCCACAUGGGUGCUCUAGGCUUAGUAUAAUCUAGAUAUAAGUCUUGGGAAGGGUUAGAAGGUGUUUAGCAUCACAAAAUCGGGUCAAACUCAUCAAAGAAGUUGUGUACGGCCACACACCUGUGUGUGCGGCCACACACCUGUGUGUACGGCCGCACACCUUUGUGUGCAGCCACACACCCAACCGCAAACACUCUCCAGUCACACACCCAGCCGCAAACACCCCUCAGCCUCACACCCAACCUUAUUUAUGUGUGGAUACCCCCUUCAUUCACUUCUUUCUUCUCUUGAAUGCACCCUUUUCCUCUCUCUCUACUUUCUCUCUCUAAAAACAUCAACCAAGAACACUUUGAAGGCUUCAUAACUGUGAUCUACUCCAUCAUCUAGCUUAUUAUAAUGGUAAACACUUGAAUCCCAAGCUUGAAACUCAUCAUGUUCAUCGUCCCUUGAAGGUGUACGGCCGCACACCUUCAUAAGGGGGCAGCACACAUUCCAAACUCCCAUAAGUGAAGACUAAAGACUUCAAAAAUCAACAUAUGGACUCAAAUGAGGAGUGUACGGCCGCACACUCCUGUGUACGGCCGCACACACCCUCUGUACGGCCGCAGACUCUUGUGUGCAGCUCACACACAACCCUGACCAUAUUCCCCAACCGCACACUCACUUGGAUGACCAUACACCCACUCUAAUACCCAUAUUUGGCCCUAAACUUGCACAGAUCACUAUGUUUGGAACAUGAGACACUUAGUCUUAGUGAUUCCAAGCCCUAAGGAUACUUUCCCAUCAUGUUUAGUCAUGAAACACCUUAGUUCUAACUCACUUAUGUGUCAUCACAUGAAUAAUAGGGGCCACUUGCGUUCAGGGCAUCCGUUGACAUUCAAACCUUACGUUAAACUGUGAGUUCAUACCCCUACACCUUUUUCCGUGUUUUUCAUGUUUUCAAGGGGGGGGGGGGGNNNAGGGGGGGGGGGGAAUACAAGCAAUAAUACAAUGGAUCUUGUACUUAAAACUUAUUAUCUCGUAUGAAAUGUUUUCAUGACACAUAUGCUUUCACACCGAAUACUAUCUUACCAACCAAUUAUGAACUUAACUGCGGAAUUUGGUCUUUCAAAACUAAAACAAAGAUUCUUGUGAAACUCAUUAUAAAAUGCUAUGUUUUAUAUUUCACAAGGGAUUCAUGACAUUCAUAACACGGAUUUUCUAUAUUAUUACUUGAAAAUUUGUUAUUCUUACAAUUGGAGACAUGUCCUUGGUAACACUCCCCGGGUAUGAGAGUGUAGGAAUACCUUAUAACCAGAAUCUCCUGGAGGGAGAACGUGACUUUUGUGUAUAGAUCUAUACGGGGCUGACUACCCCGCACCUUGCUGCUAGCUACAGUGGGACCGACGGGUCUACGGGUGACAAAAGUCAUAAAUUGAUACUGACCUUGUUUCGAGUCAUAUCUAGUCUAUCGUAUGGUUAUAGAACUCGCAACUUAGAUGACAGAGAUUUACUUAUAGUAAUAAUGAACUUAGUUAACUAACCUCAAAGUAACAACUGUUUUCAUACUAAAGGGUAUCGGUAAUACCCUUAGGUAUUAGUUCACUACCUACGAAUUAGUUUUAUAUACUUGUUAAAACUAAUGUACUUUUCAAGGAUAAUCAGACUUUUAGGGAAACUUUACUUAACAAUGCAAGUAUGGUGGAUACUUGUAAACUACAUUCCGGAUCGAUAAAUAAACACCUACUUUUAAGGAAAAUAAGGGUUUUUCCUAUGAUUUCUUAACUUUUCAUAAACAGGCUGUUCAACAGAUAGUUAACUAAACUUCUUUUAUAAGAAAAUAUGAGAUUUUCUUGGGAAAUAACUUUUCAUAAAACCAAAUGAACGUUUUCUUUCACCAGAAACAAACCGCUUAUGAACUCACCAGCUUUAUGUUGAUAUUUCAAAACUGCUUGUAUUCUCAGGUCCUCGUUAGACAGGUAUCCCACAUACUUUUGGAGAAGACGAAGCGUGUUGAAAUGUCGUCUGGUCUCUUGUUUAUAUAACAUAUAUGUAUAACACUUGUGUUACUUUGUCUUGAAACAAAUGUAAUUAAUCUUAUGUAAUGUAAUGGUUGUGUUUACUGUGCUUACUAUGUACAUUGGUUGUGAUACUACACAUGACGUCCUCCACCCCAGAACGUUUUCCGCCAUUGGUUUCGGGGUGUGACAUCAGGAGCAGAUAACGGUUCUUUACCGUUAACUUAUUCAACUCCCUAUAGUCAAUGGACAUCCUGUGCGAACCAUCCUUCUUCCUGACGAAGAGGAUCGGUGCUCCCCAGGGUGAGCUACUCGGACGAAUAAGCUGCUUACCUAGCAGUUCCUGCAACUGAGAUGACAGCUCCUGCAUCUCCGGCGGUGCCAAACAAUACGACGCCUUGGCGAUAGGGGCCGCACAUGGCACUAGAUCAAUCCUAAACUCAACCUGCCUCACCGGAGGCACUCCGGGAAACUCCUCUGGAAAUACAUCAGCAAACUCUCUAACCACAGGUACUUCUGAUACAAAGAGCUGCUCUCUAACUCGCGUAUCUACCACAUAUGCCAAAUAACCGGCACACCCGUGCUGAAUAUACUGUUGAGCCCUGGCCGGCGAACAGAACUCUGAUCCCGACCUGGUGCCCUCACCAUAUACCACCAAUUCUCCCCAACUUGGGGUUCGAACCACCACCCGCUGACCCUCACAGUCGAUCAUGGCGCCAAAACUGCUAAGCCAAUCAAUUCCCACAAUCACGCAUACAUCCCCCAUUGGAAUAGGAAUUAAAUCUAUCGGGAAAGACACUCCGAAAAUCUCCAACAUGCAUCCUCAGUAGACUGAAGAAGCAGAAAUCCCGUGCUCGUUGGCGAUCGAAACUCGCAACGGGCACUCAAGAUCAUCUAUCAGCACACCGAACCCUCUAGAUAAGGUCUGAGAUACGAACGAAGGACUCGCCCUCGAGUCAAAUAAAACCAAAGCAGACAAAGAAUUUACUAAAAACGUACCUGAUCGUAGGUACAACCAAUAAGCAUAGCACAAAUACAACAACUGAGAUAGAGAAUAGAAUCAUACCAGCAACCACAUUCGGUGUUGCCUUGGCCUCCUCGGCCGUGAGCUAGAAGGCGCGACCCUGAGCCUUCGGAGGCACCAUCUUGACUGGCCUCCCAUCUCCAAUCCUCACAGUAGCUGGCGCGGAACCCUGCGCCGGCUUGGCGGCGAGCUACGGACAAUUGGUCUUCAUAUGACCAACCUGAUGACAAUGGAAACAAAUCCUCAUAUCUGCUGGAGGGGCGGACUGACGACAGUCCCUGGUAUAGUGCCACUCUUUGCCACACCUGUGGCACCCACCUCCUGCUCGACAAACCCCUGAAUGAGUGUUGCCACACUUUCCACAAGUGCGGCUUUGAUGACCCCCAGACCGUGUAUCAACGGUUUUAGACCGCUUAGGCGCCGACUGAGACUGUGCCGGUGCCUGACGCUGCUCCUUCAGCUGAAGCUCUAUCUCAAACUCACGCUGCCGCGCGGCUUCCUGUAGGUCCAGGAGGGUAUCACAUCACUGAGUAAACACAAACUGUCGAAUAUCCGUCUAGAGCAUACUCAGAUAACGAGUCAUCUGAGACUGCUCUGAAGCAAACUCCAGGCAAAACAUAUCCCUCUCCGUGAACAUACAGGUAAUCUCCAUCACAGACUCUCCAUCCUGUCUCAAGGUCAAAAACUCCUGAGCAAGCUGCUCUCGUUCCACGCGCGGAACGUAGCGGGUGCGAAACAUAUCCCGGAACUGCUCCCAGGUAAUCAGUAUACAACCCAGUCGUCGGCCUCCACCAGUCCUUCACCCCAAGCCUCAGCAGGUUCAGGGCACACCUGACCUUCUGGUCAGCAGGACACGAACACGUGAAGAAACAUCCCUCCACGUCAGAUAACCACCUCAUAGCCUGAAUAGCAUCCUGUGUACCAUCAAAUGUCGGGGGCUUCAUAUUGUCGAAGUCCCGGUACUGGAAAGCCCUGCCGGCUCCUCCUCCUUCAACCCCUGCAACUGUUACAGCCGAAGUGGCUGCAGCGAUAGUAGUCUCUGCUAGAGCGGCAUACCGCUCAUCAAAAUACUCGACCAUCGCGGUCUUAAUCGACCAAAACAUCUCUGGCAGCUGCGCUCAGAACGCAACAACAAUCUCAUCGUGCAUGAUCUCCUGAAUCCGGGCAUCCAACUCCUCAGUCCCUAUCUGAACCACGGGCUCAGGUGCCACCGGUACCUCCAAUCCUCCGUCUCCCGACCCUGAUCCUGAUCCGGAUCCGGAUCCCGAUCCCGAAGCAAUACGUUUCGUCACCAAUUACCCUCAAACCCUAGGGGUUUUGACUUCCUUGAUACGCGUAUGGGUCCUAUGCUUUCAGUAGUAUGGGCCCCUACUACCCUCCACACCUACCCAUAUUUGUGUCAAGUAUCACCACAACGCCCUAAACUGUAUCUAACAUAAUAUGCGCUCAACCCUCACUAACAGGGGACAUCGCCUAACUAGUAACUGAUCCUGCAGUUCCGCACCACUCACAUAUCCAUGAAACUUCCAUCAUCCCCUGCAGCGCUAGUGUACACUGGCUGCACGUAGUGCUGGACCCGAUAAACUUUCGAAUAUCCGAUCCUUCACUAAGGUCGAAUCGGACAUUCUCAGGCUAUAAGAUCUUGACUAUCCACAGCCGUGGUGCAUACACUGAACAUCUACAGUUAUGAUGUCAAUCCCAUAUACAAGAAAUCCUAGGCUAAUAGGUAUCAUACAAUCAGGCCAAUCUAUCAUGCGAUUCCUAAAAAUACCUAGCCUAGCACUAGCAUGUUGUUCUAAUCAUAUCAAAAUAUCAAAUAACUGUAUGGUAUUUUGGGGCUUACUUAUCGGCUCUGGCUGAUCGUACCUUCUGCAUCCUCCAUCCUUUAUUUUGAAAACCACUUUUAAAACUUAUUUCCCAAAAAUCUCCUUGGUUUGAGACUUGAUUCACAUGAGUGUUCCUCCAAUUCGCUCAAACCAAGGAUUUGAUACCAACUUGUAACACCCAUAAAAUUUACGCCAAAUUUAAACUUUUAAUACUAACAAAAGAGUCAAAUAGUAAUUGUUUUUUUACAAAACAUUUCCAAUUCAUUUAUCAUCAGAGUGUCCCAAAAUAGAUCAUGAGGAUGAGGAGCGGUACGGUCACUCCUUCGCCUUCCCUCGCUCUCCUGAAGUACCUGAAACAAUAAACUGAAAACUGUAAGCCCGAGGGCUUAGUGAGCUACCCCCAAAAUACCAAUACCACACUGGCCGAAACCAUAGCCAUAACGAUCAAUCAAACAACAUACAUAUUGGGCCAUCGGCCGGACUAGUCCGCCCUACUAGGCCUACAGUCUAUCAGAAUCUAUCCCGAGCCUUCGGCAUGACUGGUCCGCCGCGUGGGCCUACAGUCUCCCCGGACCGCUCAGAGGGUGUGUUGGCCUUCAGCACAAAGUAGGACCGCCUCAACCUAAGCAACAAGCAACUAACCGUGUAUGCAUACUAUCAUAUACUGGAAUGUACACAUAGCAAACAUAUCUAUCUCAUUGACCAUCAAUCAUAGAGUUUCACUCAUACCUAGAGUAUUGACUUAACAGGUCACUAACAUACCAAUCCUCACAGAUCAUAAAAGCAUAACAUACUAUCUAUCCUGAUUCCGAUCCAAUAGAUCAGAAUCUUAUGCAGCAUACCAUAACUACCGAUCUCUAGUAUAACAACCAUCCUAAACAGGAUAAAUUCUAGCAAAGCAAUAACAUAACACCCAUCCUAAACCAGGAUGAAAUCUAGCAUGGCAAUAAUAAAGCAACCAUCCUAACCCAGGAUGAAAUUCAUAAAGGGCCGUCCUUGGUGCCGUAGACCCUAUCGAUAUAGUGAGGAUAACUCACCUCGCAGAUGUCGAUAGAAAUGCAAACUCCAACUAUCGGAUCACUUGGCACCAGCUCCACCACCUAUAACCAUAGCACAAUAUACUCAUAAGUUCUUACUAUUAUGAGACACCCCAUAAUCACUUAGUAAUUCCUGNAUGUCGAUUGAAAUGCAAACUCCAACUAUCGGAUCACUUGGCACCAGCUCCACCACCUAUAACCAUAGCACAAUAUACUCAUAAGUUCUUACUAUUAUGAGACACCCCAUAAUCACUUAGUAAUUCCUGAUCGAGGUCAGAGUCCUCAGUCAAGGUCAACAGUCCAUGUUGACCUCAACUCGCCGAGUGCACUCGACCACUCACCGAGUCCAAGGAGCACAUUCCAACUCGCUGAGUUAUUGGAGUGACUCGUCGAGUUCCUUCGAAUCCUGAUAAAUCCUUAAGGGCCACCCGUCGAGUUUCCUCCUUGCAACUCGACAGGUACACACGUAUGCAUAAUCAAAGGAAAAACCAUCCGACUCGCCGAGUUGUUCUUCAACUUGUCUUUAUGGUGAUCUACAUCGGACUCGCCGAGUUUUUCAUCCAACUCGCCGAGUUCAAUGACCAUCUUCAUGUGAAUCGUCGAGUACAUCCAGUCCUCUCCCCAUACAUACUUGUUUUGAGCCAUGCAGCGGCUCAAAAUCACAGAUCCAAGCUUCUAGGGCAUACUUAGCACGUAAAGUUGCAAACUUUUACGUACAUGCAUGGUUAUAAAGGCUCCAAAUGUCUAUUUUAUGUUCUUAAUGGAGCUUUUAGUCCAAGAGGGACUUCAUCUACAACCAGUACAACAACUUUUUGACUCUAGCACCCAAGGAGGGUCCAGAUCUGAAGUUACAACUUCAGAUAUAGCCUAUAGCUCAACAUCCUAACUUGAAAAUCCAUAAAAAGCCCUAGAACUCAACAAGAGGAAAGAAAAGGAAGUAAGAAUGGCACUUUGAUACCUUCAAAAGAUGCUAGCAGAGGCAAAACCCGUUUCCCCCUCCUUUCUUGCUUCAAUUUCCUUUGCACUCUUAACUCCCUUCCUCCAAGAUUCUCUCUUCCAGGCUUUAAAACGACUCCAAGGCACACAAACACGGAUUAGGGUUUAUAGGGGCUCUCAAAGACUAUAAGGAAGUCCAAAGAAGGCUGAGGCUCCUUUAAAUAGGGGUGCAAACCCCGGGAUUUAGGGUUUCAUCUGCCAGCUCCUACUCGCCGAGUCCCAAUAGUAGACUCGCCGAGUAGGUNUUUUUCAUUUAAAAAUAAUCGUUUAAUUCUAAAAAACACUUUGCUGAAAAUCUCAUUCAUAAUCGAAUUACAAAACAUAACUCCAUUUUCACUUGCAUAAUAAACCAGGAUCCUCAAAACAUGACUCUUUCUCUGGUGUGUACAAUCGAGCCGGUGCCGUCCCGUGAUCCUGAGAGAAACCUGAAACACAUAACACAAAACACUGUAAGCACGAAGCUUAGUGAGUUCCCCAAAAUACCACACAUACAUAUAUUAGCCACUCGAGGCUAUAACUCUGUGGGUCCGUGGACCCUACUCUAUGAACCCUCUGGUUCUAACUCUGUGAACCCUCCGGUUCUAACUCUGGGAACCUUCCGGUUCCAACUCUGUAAACAUGCACAACAUAAAUCACAUAGAAAUAAUGCAGUACAACACAUAACAGGCAUAUAGCAUACAAAUACUCUAUCACAUAACUCUGAUUACCUACUCAAGGUAAAGUAUAGUGAGAAGACUCACCUGGCAAGCAGAAAGCAGAUAUCCCCACACUUGAAUCUCGAACUUGCCACCGCCUAACACAUAAGGCAAAUACUCUCAUGAAUAUAACUCUCGAGUCUAGGAUCAACCCUCUCUUGACACCCUCUUAAGGGUAAAAGACCAUUUUACCCCUCUCUUGGCCCAAAGGCCACAUCGCUGACCAAACCCUAAAAGUCAACAAAAGUCAACGGUCAACUUUGACCGGACUCGGCGAGUGCACUAGGGCGACUCGGCGAGUCUACACGUGUCCACUGACUCCCUUGGAUCCUCUCUUGACACGUCGAGUAUUUCUCUGACUCGACGAGUUUCACCUGGCAUAAUCGCGGGGCCACCACGACUCAACUCGCCGAGUCUCAAGAACAACUCGGCGAGUUCCAGCUUGACUCAGUCCACCUGUCAACGCUCUCUAAUUCUCCCUGACUCACUGAGUCAUCCCUUAACUCGACAAGACGACUCGCUGAGUGGUUAGGACAAUCUUCAUGCUACUCGCCGAGUCUGUUCUUCGGACUCGGCGAGUCCAUGCCAUGCAUCGACUCAAUCUCGCUUCUGAGGUCAGAUCCGCUCCAACAACUCAUAGAUCUAGCCCUCCCAAGCACAUUCAUCACGUAAAGUCUCAAUCUUGGCUACCAAGCAACGCCUACAAGGCUUCUUUUGAUGAAAUGACAUCUAAAAUGGAAACCUAAGUCUCCAACUCAAAAGGAAAGGCAUAAAGCAUGGCAUUUGGGACUCUCUGGACCUACUAAGGUCCAGAUCUAGGUACCAUUUCCCCAUGGGACCUCUCAUACUCCAAAUACAAGGCAAACAAGGCAUGAAGAAACCCUAGAUUUGGCCAUAUCAAGAAAAACAAGAGAAUAAGCUCUGAAUGUUACCUCAAUUAGCUUCCUCUGUCGAAAUAGGAGUAGAUCUAAGCUCCCCAACUCCCUUAGCUUGGCUUUCCUCUUCCUUUCUUGCAAAUACACACUAAAAUGGUGAAUAAAGGCCUCUUAUCUCACUCACAAGAACUCUCAUCUGCUCUAGUGCUCCCAAGGUCGAAGGUAGCCGCAAUGAAUGCCAUAAGGUCCCUUAAAUAGGGCUCAAGACUGGGAAAUUAGGGUUUCAUUAAACAGCGUGGACUCGCCGAGUCCUAGCGCGAACCCGCGUCCAAAACCGCGAUCCUACUCGGCGAGUUUGAGCUCCAACUCGCCGAGUCCCCUCACAAAACACCAAAAAUAUAUGAAUAAAUAACACCUGGGGUUCCGGGAUGUUACACACGUGUUCUUACCCCACUGCUACUCGACGAGUAGGUCGACCAACUCGUCGAGUAGAGCUUUUUUCCAAAAAUUCUUAAUAAAUAAAUACUUGAGGAUCGGGGCGUUACAUAGAGGAUGAAAACAAGGAGAAAACUAUUGAACAAUCCAAUGACUCCUUGAACUUUGAAUCUGUUGCUUCUAACUCAGUUACUCCUAAUAAACCUGAUGUUGAGAAGUACAUGCCACCAGCUGCUGAACAAACCUACUGUUGAGAAGUACAAGACUCCUUGAACUCUAAAUCUGUUGCUUCCAAUGACUCCUUGAACUUUGAAACAGCUGACCUGCUGCAAGUGUGCUUGUGGGAACAAUUAGAGACAAGGCAAGGAUACACCACCAGGGGUAGGAAGAAACAACUUCACAGUGAAGAAAAAGACUUGCUUUCACUGUGGAACACCUAGAAACAUUGCCAAAAAUUGUCCUAAUCGUGCAUAUGUUCCUUACUAUGUACAAGGCUGGAAGAACAGGCCAAGAGGGAGAUACUUGAAAAGAAACUCCUCAAGGUCAUGUUCAGACAAUGGCGACUGGAACGCGUAAAAGGCGAAAAAUCAAAAUCCCAAGGACAAGAUGGGAAAUUCGGCCAAGAAACCAAAUCCAAGAGAUGCUCCAGUGAAGCCAAGAUCGGUUAGGUCAAAGUCAUAUCGGCAGCUGACUACAAGUUCAAAAGAAAGUACUGAGCCACCCAUCAUAUCGAAAAAGAAAUGGGUUAAACCCAUCUACAAAUGGGUUCCGAAGGCUCAAUCUCCCAAAUCAUGUAAUGCUUCUAAUAUUUCUACAUCUUCUGUUUGUGACAAGCAGGAUAUGUUGUAGGAGAGAGUUCCUUGCGUUGAUGACAAAGGUCGACCCAGUUUCAAAAUGGACUGGGUUCCAAAGACCAAAUGAUCCCGCUCUGUGUCGGAACAACUAUGGAGGCAUAUCAUCACAAUUCGGUUUGUUGGUAGUGGUUGUUCCAGGCACAGGAUAGGAUGCAUCUCUCAACUGUACAACACUCAGAACAUUGUUUGAGAGUAUGUGUCCUUUGCGGGAAGGGAAGAAAGGAAGAGAUCACUUAUGGGUUUUGUGCUUAACGAUGUGAAGAAUUUUCGGAUCUGUUCUGAGAUUAUGCAUGCUAUUCUUAGACCUUCUGGAUGCAAAUUCAAUCGGUGACUUACAAUUUGAGUUUUCUUCUCGAUACUCCUGAGUUUUUCUUAAGCUGAUUCGCUUCAAAGAUAAAUUUUUGUUUUAGGAUAGUUUAAAUUUGCGCAUUUACUUUUGCUUCUCUCAUAUGCACAAAUUUAGGUGGAGAAAUAAAAACAAAACCAAAGUUAGAAAAUUUGAAAAAAAAAUCCAAAACAAUUAGAAUAUCAGAAAAUCCGAAAAUAUGUUGUUAAUGGAAUGUGCUUGUUGGUAUUAUUGGGAAGUGAUAUAAAGAUAAAGUGAUAACGGGUAGUCUAAAACAUGUGUAAGGGACUGAAUCUGAAUUGUCUAGACUCUGUGUUGAAUGUGCUAGUAGGCACGAAGGAUUUGACAGUGUGGAUUUAGAAAGGAUUGUUUGGACUGACCAUACGACGCUCGAUAAGAUUGAGUAGUGAGAUAAACACGGAAACCCACAGGAUACACUAAAUUAAUACGCAUCUAGAACGGUGGUUCAACUUUUCCUUGAUGUACGAACUUAUGUCCUUAAUUCUAGUUCUAAUAGGGCGACUGGGUGGUCCUGAUAAAGUAGGUCUGUAGGAUAUUAUUUUCUUGCUUUUUAUCUGUCAGUCAUAUGUUGCUUCCUCUGCGUGAUUGGAAGAGAUCCGACUUGGAUUGCAAUAUAUGCAACUCUAAUUCUACACAACUCCUUAUCUAUGAAAUUCUUUCUAUCUGUUAGUCAUAUGCUAUCUCCUCUGCAUGAUUGAAAUUAUCCGACCUGGAACACAGCAUAUGCAAUAUUCUACCUCUCAAUACCUCUAUCCUAGUUAGCCAUAUGUUGUCCCCUCUGCGCGAUUGAAAGAGAUCCGACCCGAGACACAACAUAUGCACCUAUUUCUAAAUCUUACUUCCUCCUUAAUAAUUGUCUACUCACCUAAAGUAAGGAGUUCUUUGGAAGUUCUUGAUAACCUGGGUAUAUCGGGAAGUGGGGAACACGUUCUAGUGCAACUAAAAUUGAAUCAUUAAGAGGUUGUCUGUAGAUCUCGCUGCUUAAUUUAAGUGGACAAUAAUACCCGUGGUCGUCGUCAGCUAAAUGGUUUAUUUAGAAAAGUUUUUCGAUAUCCUUCGUGUUUAAAUGGACCACAAUACCGGAAAUUGACCAGAUCAAUUCAUAAAGGUGAAGGUACUAAUAAACAAAAUUAAGACUGUCACAUAACUUUGAUCCCAAUUAUCUUUGUUUUUGUUAAAUGUGUUCAUAGUUUUCCUCUAUGCACAAAUUUAGGGGGAGAAUCAAAAAAACCAAACAAAAAUCAGAAAAUUUUAAAAUCCAAAAAUAGUGUUAUUUCUAUUUUAUUUCUUGUUCAGAAAAAUCAGAAAAUCCAAAAAUAUUUUUUUUCUGUUUUAUUUUUUUAGAAAAUAUGAAAAAUCCAAAAAUAUUUUGUGUUGAGUUUUAUUUUAGUUUUGUUUCUAUUUUUAGUUUUGUUUUGUCUUGAAAAGUGAAUUCAGAUGUAGAUGAGACUCAUGGAGACUGUAUCGAGAGUUUCUGAGUGAAAGCUUCAUCUGUGAUCAUCGAAGAAUUCUCAUUCGAAGGAGCAAGAAAUGAAGACUGUUCUUUCAACAUUCAAUCUUUCAACCCUAGAAGCAAGGUCAAGUUGUUCUUGAAGAUUAUGUAACAAUUUGCAUUGAAGCCUCCUCAAUCAAUUUGUUGUUAUCUAUGUACCUACUAAAUUGAUCUAGAAGAUUCGUUCUCUCUGAUGUUCUCUCUGAAGAUUCUCAAACUGAAAGCACUAUCUUUCAAGAAUCAGUACAAGAAGCCUCCUCGCCCAAUGUGCGUUUAACGUCAAAUUCUGCAGAAAAUCCCAAGUGCUCAAGAUGAAGUCAUUUAUUGAAGAUUCAUAUGUUCAUCUUGAUGCUGUGAAGAAAUUAAGAUUUAUGUUGAAGCCAAGCUCCCAAUGAAGAUUAACAAGAAAAGCAAGCUACUUUUUAGGGGGAUCUUGUUGGUUCAAUUAGAAAAGAAAGCUAUAAACCAAGGGGGGAUUGUUGGGUCAAAAAUAUGGUUUACACUUUACUUUUCUAGGAAAAUGUAUUUUUAUUUCUAGGACCGUAAACAACUUGGUGUUUACGGUUGUAUAUGUGUUUACGAUUGUGUUUACGACCGUGAACAGGUUUACGGUCGUGAACCUGUUCACGGCCCAUGUCUCAUAUAUAUAUAUAUAUAUAUAUAAGCUGAGGAGUGCAUGUGAGAGAGUANAUAUAUAGGGAGAGGAGUACAAGAGCAUAUGGUAUAGAGUGUAAGGCUAGAGAAGGAUAUCAUAUUGUAGAGAGAGAAACUAGAGAGAAGAAUAGUGUGUGUAUGAAUCUCUUAUAAGGAUCUUAAUUAAUAUCAUCAAUACAUUAGAUUCAUAUUAUUGUUCUUCUCCUUCUUCUUCAUUAGAUCUUGCAUCAUCCGUUUGAUUGGGAUUCCACACCAUCAAACGGAUCUGAUUGAUACACAAGCAGAUUUGGGGGCUUACAGUUUGGGGUGAUGGAGGCUCCAAAUAAGACCAACCUUUAGAGGUUAAAGUGUUUAAAUAGGGUGCAAAACCCUGAAAAUUAGGGUUUCACUCUAGCAGCCCUACUCGUUGAGUUGAGGCUCUCAACUUGUCGAGUACAAUUCAAGUCUCGCGUCCAAAUUCCAUUCCUACUCGAUGAGUUUGGGGCCUCCAACUCGUCGAGUCCCUUUUCAAAAAUGAAUAAUUUGAUUUAAAAUACUUAUCAGGAUCCGGACGUUACACAAUAAAGGACAACAAAGCAUAAUCCCUAGAUCUAUGGAUAAUAAUCAUAAAUCACAUAAUAUGGUUAUGAUACAUACCUUUAAGAUUGUUAUUGUAAUCAAUCUUGAAUCCUUGCUUGAAAGACCUUUGGUAGUAAGCGUCACAAGUUUCGUGCCUCUAAUGGUUCACAAACAAACUCAUGCAGCCAAUGAAUUUUAUAUAUAUAUAUAUAUAUAUAUAUAGAGAGAGAGAGAGAGAGAGUGUGUGUGUGUGUGUAUGUGUGUGUGUAAUGGAAGAGAAAUUUUGGCCCUUAGGCUCUUGGAGGAGUCAUGGCCGAAAUUUAACCUGAAUGAGGGUUUAUAUAGUUGUUAGAAAGGUAUUGGAUAAGGUAGGUGUAUCCAAGAUAACCCUAAUCCCUUCACUUCCUCCCUAAGGCAUCCAAAGCACCCUUAGAGCCCAAGGAAACCCUAGAAGCACCGAGAAUUCAUUCCCCCUACUAUAGGGAGGUUCUAGAAUCUCCUAAUGCUCAACCAUUGAACAUUGUCACCUUUAGUCCCUGCAGUUUUAAUUAAUUCCUUUAAUCCCAAAAUUAAUUCCAAUUUAAUUUCUAAAUGAUUUGUAAUUAAUAUAUUAUUUCCAUAAUACAUUAAUAAUCAUUUAUUUUGAUUUCUAAUUAAUUUAUUAACCAAGUAAUAAAUUAAUAAAUCAUUCUUUUCUCUUUAACAGUCAUCCUAUUCAAUUGUCAGGUUUGAAGGCAACCCAAAAGGACCAUGCUAAUAUCAAUUCAAGUAUAUACCAAUUAUAAUUAUGUGCUUAGACACCUAAUCCAAUAGUUUCCCACUUGGAUAAGUCUAAUAACUAUAGCUGCAAGUAUAACUUCAAAAAUUAACUAGCAAAUUUUAGCUACCAAAAGCCAAUGUCGAACUCUGACCUAAUCAGUAACGUAUCCUUAGAUAAGUGAUCAAAUACUCCUUCGUUCUACAAGAUAUUAUAUAGACAUUAGACAUGGGUUAUAAUCAAUCUCAUUGUCCAAGUUUUGUUUCCCGAUUUCUGAUUUAUGACAAUUGAUAUUAGACUAAUAAUUGAACAUAUCAAUUUAGUCCAGGCUUGGACAAGCGCUUUAGAAGUCAUCAUCAAAUCAUUGAGGGGCCCACAAAUACAUCUUUCGCCGUUUGGGAAAAAGGAACGGAUAAACUUCGACUUAUAUUCUUGCACUAUUCACUCAUCAAAUCACACACACCAAUACAUUUUAUAACUUCAAGCUACUGAUGCGUUUAUGUAUUAUCAAUACACAACUGACUCAUAAACAACAACUCAUAUAUCUAUGUUUCAAGAAUAUAAGAUAUUAUCGUCUGGAAAUUAUUCGUGAUAAAAUCCAUGAAGUAAUUCUUUGAGCGUGGGUUAAUCCAAUACAUAAAUCCCAUUUCAAAAGUACUCAUGAAUACUGCAACAUGCCAUUGAUAUGUCUAACCCCUUAGACAAUCUACAAUCUGAUUCAUGACAGUCUCAAUUCACUACUUACUUCCAAAAGUAUGAUGACUAUAGAUGUUUGAAUAAUCAAAUUAUUUGGGAAUUAAAACAUGCGAAAUGAAACACAAUAAUAACGAAAUUAACUAUGGUCUCAAAACCAUUGAAUAUAAAUAAAACACUUGUUAUUUAAUUGCCAUAUGAAAAGGGAUGUCGUAAUCAUAUUGCGAAUUUAAGAACAGAAUUAUCACAAAUGCUAAUCAUAAUGAUAUUUAUCUUUAAAAUUUACUAGCGAAAGUGUUUCCUCAUAAUCAUUUUCAUCAAUUAGAACAAAACCUUUUGCCAGAUAGAUGUUAUGAUGUCCUAUCCAUGUGAAUUUAUCAAUUCAAACCUACAGUCAUAUGAUAAGGUAGAGGACAAAACCAAAAUCAAUUUUAGGUUUUUCCUUUCAUGAAUUGAACUUGAUUAUUCUUAAUUUCUUGCCUUUUGGUAGCACAAGGACCUACCAAUGCUUUCGUGUUGUCAAGCAGCUCACUUCCAUUGACCAAUGUACCAUCACUGACCAAUGUCCUCUGCCAUUUGCAUUCAAAUGAGAAGCAUAGAACUCAUAAGCAUUGCCAACUCAACUAGAAGAUGCACAGAAACAAGAAUGUGUUAACUUAAUGAUGGGUUUUAGCCAUAAGAACUUUCUUAUGUGCGCAUGCAAAACCCUAAUGCUUGGAUCUAGGCUUUCUAAUUAAACAUGCUUUGAAUCCAAGACUUCUAAUGACUAUUUAGGUGUAAUAACAAUAUUGAAACAGAUCUAGAAUCAUACCUUUGAAUUCCUUGUUGAUAUUGUUGUCUUGGAGCUUCUAGUGUCACAAUUGUCACUCCUCUAAUGGCUUACAAACACCAAAUAGCAAGGAGGAUGAUUUGGGAGAGAGGAGAGGGGAGGAAAUCGGCCAGGGUUUUCUUACUUUAGAUGAAGUGCCGAUUUCCUUAUGCCAUAGGGUCUAUUUAUACUUGUAGACUCCUUAAGGGUUACAACCUAAACCCUAAUUGGAUAAUCUUCUCUUAAGGCUAUCCAAAUCCAUUCCUUAGAUAACCCCUUGGACGAUUUGAAGCUAUCCUUAGCUUCUAGAAUCUGUCUAAUGCAUAUCAAUAUGGAUUUAC
rnacentral:lncRNA from 1 species